GAUAAGGUUUAAGUUGAAGUAAAACUACGGAGAGUUCAAGUAAAAAUAGAAAAAAUUUUAAAUACCAUCCAUGUGGUUUCACAUUUUCUCACUUUAAUAUUCAGUGGUUUAAAGUGUAUUAAUUUAGUGCUCUGUGAUUUUAUUUUUAUUUUUUAUUAUCGAUUUUACUAAUUUUUUUCGUUAAAUCAGUGACGAAGUUAAAAUUAAAUAGUACUAAAAUGAAUAUUUGAUAAACCUAGGUGGGGUAUUUGAAGUUUUUUGUAUAUAAUUUAACGAAAUAUUAACGGAGAAGCGACGAAAAGAUAAAAAUGAAACCACAUGAUACUAACUUGAUACACUUUAAACUACAUGGUACUAAAGUGAGAAAGUGCGAAAUCACAAGGAUGGUAUUUGAAAUUUAUCUAAAAAUAAAUAGUAUUUUAACGGGAACAAACCGGAUGGCAAAUACGAAUACAACUGAAUUUUUGUACAGACAAAUAUGAAAAAUUAAACUUUGUUGGAAUAUAUUUAUUAUUUGAUAUGUUUACAUAGAGCUGAAUGAAAUUAACCCUAAUAAUUAUAUAGAGUCAUUUUCAAUAAUGUCUCCACACAAACAGCACACCUCAUGGUACACCUUUCCAACUACUACGAACGCAACAUUUCCUGGUCAACACUGUGAAUAAGCCCCUCAAAUAAAGUAUGAGGCAUAUCCAUAGCAUUAUUCCAGUUUAUACCAGAAUUUGUCUUAAGUUGAUUGGUUAGAAUCCCCUUUUUGCCUUCUCUUAAAGAUUUCUCAUGCAUAUGUGUUGAAGCCCUUAGAUCUCUAUUAGAUUUGUCAAUGUUUUUUUGUUUAAGUGGUUAGUUAGGUCAUUUCACACUGAAAAAAGUUUAAGUAUCUUUCUGAUUGCGCUUCUGAUGCAUGCGUAAUUGACCGUCGCGCAAAGAAAAUGAGAUGUGGAGCAUUUUAUGUUUCUUAUUUUGGCUAAAUUACAGAAAACCUUCCUGUAAUAACCUGUUUUUUUACUUUUCCUUCCUGACAUUUAAAAACCUACAUUUUGCCCCCCUGUAAAAUGAAAAAUGUUCACAGGAGAGUUACGGGAUGUAAAAUGACCAUUUUGCCCCUCGCCAUUGUCGUCUUCUUUCCCAUCUUUCUCAGCCGCCCCUUCGUUCGGCCGCGAUUCCCACCUCAAUCGGCCGCGAUUUCUCUCCAUUUCCUUCUCCACCUGCUCCCCUUUUCCUCCUGGACCCUUGGCACCCUCGAUUUCGGCGACAGUAGGAGAAAACCGAGAUAGGCAACAGUAGGAGAAGGGCAAAGAAGGCGGAGGCGAGGCGGCGGAGGACGGCGAAGGGGAUGUAGGUGAGGGCGCGGCAGUGGAGGACGGCGAGGCGGCGAGGCGGCAGCGAGGUGGCGAGCCGGAGGGAGGCGAAGCAACAGGGAGAUGGCGGAGGGGUAUUUUCGGCAUAAAAAUAUAUUUUUUAACAGAACCCUAACGGUAGGGGGUGAAGUGCAUAUUUUUUAUUUUAUAGGGGGAUAAAGUGUAGAUUUUUAAAUGUCAGGGAGGGAAAGUAAAAAAGUGGGUUAUUAUAAGGGGGUUUUCUGUAAUUUAGCCUUUUAUUAGCUUAUAUUUUGGUAAAGUGAUGUUUCGUUCGUCUCAUAUUUGAUGGAAAGAAGAUUGUUUGUGAAUGCUCGAGUGCUAAACAGUCGGUUACUAACAACUUACGAUUAAACAUUUUAGAUUGAUGUUUGCGCUCAAUAAGUUGCUAAUAUCUUAUGGUAUUUUCUUUCUUAGGAGUUGCAAACUAUUUAUUUUUGAUUUUUUUUAUAUGUUCGGUUUAAAUAUGCAGAAUCCUUGACUCACAAAUGAUACUAAUUUAUACUGCAUAUAAAUAGUAGGAUACCAACCAAUUAAUUACAUAGAACAAAUUUUUUUUUUUUUAUAUAUUUCUUACGAAUCUACAUUAUCAAUUCGCCCAAUGGCUCCAACUUUCUACGUGGAGAACUUCAAGCUCAUAUUUCUUACGAAUCUAUAUUAUCAAUUCGCCCAAUGGCUCCAACUUUCUACGUGGAGAACUCCGAGCCCAGAGUUUGCUACGUGGUAAUGCCAACGCUAUAGGACCGAAGAUUAUAUUAUUGGAGAGAGAGAGAGAGAGAGAGAGAGAGAGAGAGAGAGAGAGAGAGAGAGAGGCCAUAGCUGUUGUGUUCCACUCAUCUUAUAUGUUAGGACCCAAAAAAAAAAAAAAAAAAAGAGGGGGGGGGGGGGGGANNNNNNNNNNNNNNNNNNNNNNNAGGGGGGGGGGGGGAUGUCAAAAAUAUGCAAUGGAAUGUGGGUAGGUGAUUUAUUUUUUGAGGAGUUAUGGUGAUGAGGGGCUUAUUAUUAUUAUUAUUUUUUUUGAGAGCGAGAUAGGUAGCAUGCUACCUGUUUCGUUUAUUUAAUUUAGAAAUAAACUUAGCUAGAAAUGUGAAUCAACUAGAAUACGAACUUAGGUUUCGGGUACCAACCACCAAGCUCUUUGCCGGUUGUAAUUUAGUUUAUUUUACUUUGUCAUUUUGUGAUUCAAAAAUUUUACUUUGCCUUUUUUGAUUUUAGCUCCUCUUCACUUUGUCAUCCUGUGGUUCAAAAAGUUACGCUUUAUUUUCCUGUGAUUUAACGUAUUUUUUUAUUUUGGCACCUUAUAGUUUUUUAAAAAAUUUUAUUUUACCAUCCUAUUUCAUAAUAAAUUUUCUGGUAAAAUAAAUUUUAAACCACGGUAGAGGAAAUUUAAAGUUUACCCUAAAAAAAAAUUUGAAUGAGAAGCCGUUUAUUCUUUUUUAAUAGACAUAUAUUGUAGAGGCUUGCGCAGAAACUUUUGAAUUGGCACAAAUUAUUAAAAUCCGAAUGCAAAGUAAAUCACACAACUCACCAAUAGGGAUGCAAUCAAGCGAAUCCGGGGGCAGGAGGGUUUCCUAUUUCUUGUCAGAAUGGGGCGGAUUCGAUACGGAUUAUUUUUUAUUUUAUUUUUUUUUUGCACUUACCACCCCAUUCAGGGCGGAUUGGGACGAGAGCGGAUUUUUGGCGGAUUUUUUAUAAAUCGGGAUCAAUUGAAGGAAGAAAAGAGUCUCCCGCCUCCCUCUUCAUUUAUUUGGCGGAUUGGGAUGGAUUUGGGACGGACUAUAUUUUUUUAUAUUUUUUUUAUUCUUACUUACCGCCCAUUCGAGACGAAUCGGGACGGGAGCUCUACCAACCCGGAUCAAUUUGCAUUCCUACUCACCAAACUUCUCAACAAACUUGAUCUGGUCGCAUUAAAUGGGCUGGGUUAGAAUCCGAGUUAGUGUGAGUCCGAAUCCAAUUCAAUAAAAUUUAUAAGCUUGUCAGAUCAAGACCGAAUUGCGGAACCAGUUCAAAAAUUAUGACCCAGGCCUGAUUACCAGGGCCCAAAAAGGGCAGUGCCGCCCCGGAAUGCAGUCGGUGUCGUGCCGUGUCGUGCCGUGCUGUGCCGUCCCAAACCAUUUGCCGGCCGGCCCCAACACAGCAGGCCAUGCCGUGCAGGGCAGCGGGUCGGCGACAUGCAGCUCAGCACGGCCGCCGUCUGUGUCAGGUCGGGCCUGUCCACGGGCCACCCAGCCUGUUUUACAAUUCAACCCAAUUUAGAUCCAUCCAUGAUCAAUAAUUAUUAUUAAUCUGUCUAUUAGGGAGGAUUUGGCCUAAUUUUUGAAAAGUGAUUUUAGGCUCAAAAGUAAUUUUCAGCUCAAUAGUGCGUUUGCCAACCUUACUUUCCAAAUGUGAUUUUGAUUUUUAGAAUCAGUUUGCUGAUUUUCGAGAUCCAAAAUUAGAAACAGCUAAAACUUGCUUCUUGACAUCUGAUUUUGAUUUUGAACUGAAACUUCAAAAUUUUUAUUUUGAUUUUAGAUUUAAAAUUUAAAUUUAAAUUCAAUUUUAAUUUUAGAUUUUAAAUUCAUAUUUGAAUUUUUAAAUUUUAAAAUUUAAAUUUUAAAAUUUAGAUAUUAAAAUUUAAAUUUAAAUUUAAAUUUCAAAUCUCAAAUUUUAAAUUUUAAAAUUGAAAAUUGUAAUUUUCAAAUUUUAGAAUUUAAAAUUCAAAAUUAUUAGUCUUAAUUUUCAAAUUUUCAAAUUCAAAUUUUAAACUUUAAAAAAUUAAAUUUUAAACUUUUAACUUUUUAAAUUUUAAAUUUUAAUUUCAAAAUUUAAAAUUAUUUUUUAAAUUUUAAAAAUUCAAUUUUAAAUUUCCAAUCUUUUAAAUUUUAAAUUUUAAAUUUUAAAUUUCAAAUCUUUAAAAUAUUAAUUUUAAUGUUAAUUUUUAUUUUAUAAAUUUUAAAUCUUAAAUUUUAAAUUUUAGAUUUCAAAUUUGAAAUUUAGAUUUUAAAUUGAGAAUUGAAAAUUUAAAUUUAUAUUUAAAAAUCAAAUUUUAAACUUUAAAUUUUCAAAUUUUAAAUUUAUUUUUAAAUUAAGAUAUCAAAUUUGAAAUUUUAAUUCAAAAUUAAGUUUUUUAAUUAAAUUCAAAUUUUAAAUUAUUUUAAAAUAAAAUUUAGUAAAAAUAUUAUUAUAUGUAAACAUCAAAAAGAUUUUGUCAAAUAAUUUCACAAAAUCAUUUCAGAAAAAUCGCUUUUAUCUAAACUAAACCAAACGCUUUACGGCUCUUAGUCAAAAUUAAUUCCUCAAACCAAAAUUAAUUCCGUAGAAAUCACAUUUUCAGAAAUAUAAGGCCAAACGGGCCCUUAGGCUUAGUUUGCUAUUGAGGCCCAUCUAACAUUAUUAGAGAAAAUAAAGUUUGGAUAAAAACAUAUACGGAUAUGGUUUUACAUUUUUUGACGGAACCACAGAAAUUAUAUCAUAACUAACUCAUUACGAUACGUGGAUGACAACAUUAUAUAUGAAAACAAACAUAAUAUUUUUUUAUCGUAUUUUAUCAUCGCACGUAACGCAAUCUUUUCACAAUCCAAACGAAAUCUUAAUCUCCAAAACUUUUAUUUUAGUUUUUUACUUUUAUCAUAGUGCGGUAAAUACAAACUAAAUAAAUCUGGUUAUUUAUUCAAAAAAGAAAAAAAAAAUCCAACGUAUAUCCAAGUCGCAUGAGACGCAUGUUUUCGGCCGUCUCUCGAUCUGAAGCCUCUCUCUUUCUCUGACAGACCUUCGCUGCCGCCCGCUCCCCCUCCCUCGCCGUCAGCCGCCGCCAGCCGUCGGACGCCAAGCAAGCAGCAGUCUGCCCAGUCGGGCCUACGUCUCCCUCCAGUCUGCUCCAUCGAUCGACGCUUCCUCUUCUCUCAUUUUCUUAGGUACCGAUUUAACAAAUGACAAUAUUGUUCAAGUUCGAACCUUAUUUAUUUGUUUUUGUUAGUAAAUAAUUGUUAUCAACUAAAUUGGGAGUGAUUUUAUUAAAAAAUUUAAAAAUUUAAGAAGACGUUAAUGAACAAAAAAAGAAAAAAAAAGUUGAGAAGGCCAUUAGAGAACGGUGUAUAAGUGACAGGGUCUUGUUAAUAUAUAGCAUUAGGACUUUUUUUCCCCUCUUUUUCCAUGCUGAUAUGAAUUUGGAUACGGAUAUUAAAACGGAUACAAAUACGAAUUGGAUUUAUGUGGAGUAUGAACUCGAAUCGGAUUUUUGAUCAGAGAUAUAAAUUAGAUUUUGGACGGAUACUGAUUAGGGUGUGUGUUUAUUGAGAGAUAGAGAGUACAAAGAAAUACACAUUGUAAUGUGCAUGUAUGUGUGAUUGUAUUUUUUACAUAAUAUAUGCAUCAAUAUAGGUAUUGUGUCUCUGAUAUCCGUAUCCGAAUCCAAAUUCAAAUUCGAAUAUGAAAAGCAUUUGUUCGUAACAUGUAUCCGAAUUCGACAGUUACAGUGAGUAUCUGACCAAAUCUGAAUCCAAAUUCAUGCCAAAUGGACUAUUUAUCAUCCGAAUCUACCUCCAACUGGAUUUUCCGGUCCGAUAAUGUCACAUCAGUUAAAAAAAUCAAAAGCAUGCUCAGGAACAUUAUGAGCAACAAAAUCUUCUUCUUUGUCUCCUAGUAUAUGCUACAUGAACAUUAGGAAAAUUUUUGAGCGAAUUUUUUCAGUAAAUGAUAGUAUUUCAAAGAAACAUAGGUAGCAUCUUCGGGAUGAACGUAAGGAUCCAUUCAAGCUAUAGAUGUUAUGAUUUGCUUUGGAUUAUACAUGCAGGAUAUUUUGUUUAGUUUGUUUGAUUUCUUUUUUAUAGGUUGGGAGUAGUUUCAUUUGAUUAUGUUAUCUCUCCUUACCCCUGCUCUGGUUACAAUUUUCACCUUAGAUUUCAUUCGCGGAGAUAGUUUUAUUUGAUUGUGUUAUCGCCUCAUAUUUGGUUAUUUGCUACUGGGAGCAAGUUUAUUCUUUUGUAUUAGUAAACCUUUGUUUUUUAAUCCAAUUUUGUUUGGUCAACAUUGGCUCUUUAAUCAAUUUUUAUUAUUAUUUUUCAAAUCUAACAUUGGUGAGUGGUGCAUUACCAAACUCGUGCUAGGAUAAACCGUUCCCAUUUGAUAACCAAAAACAAAAAAAAAGGCAAAAAAAGAAAAGAAAAGAAAAGAAAAAAGGCAUGGUUGUUGGAAGAAGGGGUUCCUCCAUUUCCAGCCUCCGACGAAUCGCAGCGAGGGUGUUCUCUUCCUACUCUGCGCCCAUUCACGGAAUCCACGUUUUUCAGUGCCCGGUGAGAUUCAUGCACUCCUAUCCCCCUCUCUUUUCGUGCUUCUGUUUCUUGAUUUCGGAUAGAUAUGAAAUGUUGAGGAUAGAUCGAACGAUCUUUUCUUAGUUGAGAUUGUAUUGUUAAGUUUUAUGAUUAGGAUGUGGUGGGAAUCGUCGCUAAGCUCUCGGAAUGCAUUGCCUCCAGAGGAGGUAAUAUACAUAGCAUCGACGUCUUUGUUCCCGGGAAUAAACAGGUCUUCUACUCUAGAAGGUCAAUUUUCUCAUCCCUUUCUCUAUCUUUCCCAUGCUAUUUCAUCCAUUCCUUUCAAUUUAAUUAGUUUCUUGUGCAAAGAAAGUUAUAAUCACCACUAACCCUUUUGAUUUUGUUUUCAAGAUUGGACCGGCAUGUUUGAUAUUUUUCUUGAGGGGUUAAUUUAGGAUCGACAUAGGUAGAAAGUUGAAACAGAUCGAAAAUUUUGGGACUUGUGAAGUUGCCUUAUCCCUUGUAUGUUUUUAAGUUCUGCUUUAUCACUUCGGUGGAUUUAGUUUUCUGAAAGGAUCAAGAAUAGUAAAAUCUACGAUAAAUGCAGCUGUUAUCUGACAGAUUAAUGUUUUGGUAUUGUAAUGUUUGCCAAGAUAGUUGACUGCAAUCCGUAACUGACAGUUUUAGGGCUCGUGUUGAUUAAUAGUCGACAUCCCCGAUGCUUUCUGUUUCCGUCUUCUUUGAUAGAUAAGGUAACAAUUGCCCAUCAAGCUCCUCAAAUUGAGAGAAAAUACUGGUUGUCUGGAGCUAGGUUAUAAUGCUUCUAAAAGCAAGCAAGACCGUUUACUUCCGCAUUGUUUCUGACAAUGGUUUAUCUGAAUUGACGAUCGACACCAUUAAACAUGAUCUAGUGUAUUUGAACUUUUUGGAUUUCACAUUUCAGAAUUUUUCGCUAUCACUUGGUAAUGUAAGAUGAAUUUAAUGCUGGUUGAUCGGUAGGCAAAUGAUAUUGUAAAAUUACAAAAUUUGGUUUCUAGGAAGUUUAAAUAGCCUAGAUCGUAUUUAACGGAGCUGAUCAUCGAUUCGGAUAUCCUAUUGCGGGAAACGACCUGGAAGUAAACGGCUACGUUUACUUCUGAAGUAUUCUAGCUUUAGUCAGUUGUCUGUUAGCAAAUCCUGUUAAUUCAAUGAUUAUAAUAAGAUGUGCCUAGCCAUUAGCAUGUUGUUCUUUUUAAACAAUCCGAGUACUUUACAAGUUCAGAUCUUUUAUUAUCCGCAUUACUAAUGUCUGCUAAAAGAGAAUAGUUUUCUGCAGUGAAUUUGUGUUUGAUCCUGUACGAUGGCCACGGGACGUGUUGGACAGUGACUUCCUCAGAUUAUCAAGGUUAUUCAGUGCAGAAAAAUCUAUUGUAAGGGUCCCUGAUGUAGACCCCAAAUAUAAGAUUGCAGUUCUUGCUUCAAAGCAGGUAGGUUCCGUAUAUGCUUUUUAUUAUUUAAAAUUUACUUUCUCUAGUUGCACGAUAAACUACUUAAGUGUCCAACUAUUUGAUUAUAUCAUCUAUACACAUAGUAGUUUGACGUAGUUAUUGCUUGUGUAGGAUCAUUGUUUGGUAGAUUUGCUACAUAGAUGGCAGGAGGGUAGGCUUCCGGUGGAAAUUAGUUGCGUAAUAAGGUGAUAUAUUUAAUGUAUUUCUUUUCUGGUUUUUACUUUAGAUGAUUUUCUUCCGCGGCAAAAAAAAAAAGCUAUGGAGAACUCAACUUUAAGCCAUUUAUGAAGUAGUCUCUUCAAAUCUUCAUUUUUUUUAAUUGAAAACCCGUUAAACUUUGAUGUUUCGGAAUUGAUUAAAUCAGGGAUUUUAUAUUAUAUUCACAGCAAUCAGAUACACUAAAAGUUAAAGGGGUAUCAAUCAUAUAAAGUAAAGUGAAAGUGCCUAUUUAAAAUGACCAAUAGUUGAGGCUGUCUCCAUAUUAUAUUUAUUUUUUUUUUAGCAACUAAUAAAUUCAUUUUCGCAGCAAUCAUAACAGAUCUCCAAAUACCCAUGUUAUACGUUUUCUUGAGAGACAUGGGAUUCCAUAUCACUACUUACCAACAACUUCAGGAAAUAAAAGAGAGCAGGAAGUUCUGGAAUUGGUUGAACAGACAGAUUUUCUUGUGCUCGCAAGAUAUAUGCAGGUAAAAUAUUUAAAGUGCUUCGAAAAACUUCAAGUGCCUACUUCCGCAUUUGGAAACCUACUCAUUUAAGAAAACUUUUGGUUUACCAAUUUUUUGUGGUACUUGUAGCUAAAGUUAUUUUAUUAAAGUUUAUUUUGUUUAGAGUGGUUCUUUCCCGGAAACAACAAGAGAGUUUGAACCAUCAGAAAUUUAUGGGCUAAAUAAGCAUCUGAUUAUUGGAAACUGGAGUUGUAAACUGGAGUCGUCUUAUUGUAAUUUGUUUGAGAGUUUGAACUUUGCUUUAGCUAACAAAGUACCUUUGGCUUGAUAUGUUGUAUGAUGCUGUCACGCCCCGGGACCCAGCGGGAGCCCGCCCGGCGCGUGCCCAGACCCGCCAUAUGUCUACAACAUAUAAGGCGUCUAAAAACAACAAUAAUAACAGCAAUAAUAAAAGACAUCUAGAAGUAUAAGAGCAUAAUAAAUGUCUAAAUGCUACAACAAGGGAUAAGGAUAAAACAGUAAAUCCACUAAAUAAAACAUAGAGUAAGAACAAUAGAAAAUCCCAAAUACAAGAGCUAUAAGUAGGUACAUAGGUGGUCUCUAUACAUGGAUACAAAAUCUCUCUCUCUCUCUCAACUACAAAAAGAAAGAGUAAACCACCUAGGCAAAGUACCGCUCCUCGCUAGCUAGCUAAGCGAUCCCCUUGCCGCGAUCCCGUGCCUCCGCCGGUGCCGAAGGCUCUGAAAAGUAAACCACAAAACGGGNUACAACCAUCAACCCUUAUACCGGUACAAGGCCAGUCUUGUUCCGGUACAAGCCCUGCUGCGGGCUACCCGAGAGCUGUCCAAAAAUUCCGAUUUUGGAAUUUUGGGUGCCAAGUCCUACUCCAACAUCCUCGGGAUGCGUGCCAAGGGUCGGGACACUAUCAACGACCCUCCAAAAACUGUGGAAAGGCUCCACACACAGAUCAAACACUCGAAUCUUGCAAUUUGCUAAGAUCCAGUGCAUUACAGAUGCAGAAGCAGAGUAACUAUUUGCAAGUGAAACCUUGUGAAUAUAUAUAAGCCUUUACAUUCCGCAGGGUUUUAAGAAACAAUGUCUUGGUUUGCUGAAUGAAAAAGAUGUCAGGUUUAACUAAGUAAGAAUGUGCUUAAACUUGCUUGAAGUGGUUCAUCCUUUAUAUGAACUGGAAUUUGGCUAUCCGGAGAUUGGUUCUGUAGCCUCAAGUUUUAAGUACUUUUGCUUCGCGCCUUGAUUGGUAUUUAUUAUUUAAGCCGUCAUGCCCUUUAAAGACUCGGGAAACUAAAGAUGUGAAUAUAGGCUUAGAAACAUGAAACAUUUUCGUUAGUUGCUGUUCUAUCAGCAGCAGUGGUAGUGAUGUUUGCGUGAAGAAAUAAGUGCACUUUUUUUUAGCAUUAUUGAGGUGUAGUAAGUAUCGGAUACACUCAUUUUACAUCGUCUUUUUCGCCUAGUAUCACCUAAUUAGUUCUUACUUGCAGAUCCUGUCCGGAAAAUUUUUGGAAACUUACGGUAAAGAUGUCAUUAACAUUCAUCACGGCCUUCUCCCAUCAUUCAAGGGUGGAAAUCCUUCUAAACAGGUCUGCAUUUCCUAGAUCUUGUUCUUCAAAUCUGGUCUCUAAGAUUGUUGUUUAAACUUUAAAAUCUCUUUUAUGACUCCAGGCUUUUGAUGCUGGGGUUAAAUUGAUCGGCGCGACAAGUCAUUUCGUGACAGAAGAACUCGAUGCUGGCGCAAUCAUUGAACAGAUGGUGAUUGUGUUCACAAUUCUUUUCUUUUUUUUGAUUGCAUUGAUACGAAUAUGCUGGUCAGCGUAUCAAUAUAGCUACCUACCUGCAAUAAAAGUUAAUGAUCCAUAAUGAUGAAUCAAACAAGUAACUUUAGUGGUUUUCAUAUGUUAUUGAUUGGUUCAGAAUAAAAGUUAAUGAUCCAUAAUAUGAGGGUGAAACUAAUCUUCAAGAAAACAGAAGUGGGCCAAAAAGAAGAUCGCGUUAAAUCUUUUGUUUAUCGUUCGAUUUACUGUAUAAACGCCACUCGACAUUACUUACAGCUCCAAAAUUUUGACUCUUUUAUUCAUGUGAUACAGGUUGAGAGAGUCUCUCACAGAGAUACCUUACAAAGCUUUGUGAUGAAGUCGGAGAAUCUUGAGAAGCAGUGCCUUGCACAAGCAAUAAAAUCUUAUUGUGAACUCAGAGUGUUACCUUACGAAUCCAAAAAAACUGUUGUAUUCUGAGGCCCUUGUGAAAUUUUAUAAUUUAUAUUAUUUGCAAUUUAAUAAUCUGUAACAUUAUGGGUUGUCUUUGAUUAUCAUUCCUUAAGUUCAUAAUAUUUCUUUGAACUCUCCCUGAAUUUGCCUAAUAAUGUGAAAGUUAAGUUAUAGCAUUAAUGUUACUCUACAAGGUGAUAUGCACAUUUUAUCACCAAGAAGAGAAACAUCCACAACUUCAUAUUUAGAUGUAUAUAUUCUUAAUUAUGAGUUAGUACAUUUUAUCUCUCUCAUAUGUAAAUAUAUAAAGUAAUUGAUUUUUAGUUCUAGGUAAUGUAUUGAGUCCCCCUCAACUAUUGGCCAUUUUGGAAUUGGUCUCUCAACUUCUUCUUUUUAUUAUUAUUAUUUUUUUACAAACUGUUAAUUUUAAUUUUUUACUUAAGUUAUUCUAAUUAGUUAAAUUAAAAAUUUUGUUUCAUCUAAAUUAGUGUUUUUUUUGGGGUAAAUUUCCCAAGAACUUGAGAAGGUUCAGUUAUUUUAGUUUCAUUUACUAAACCAUGAUUAAAAUUAUUAAAUUUUAUAAAAUUAAAAUGAAUUUAAUAAAAAAUUUAAUUUAUUUCUUCAAAUAAAGCCAGAAUACUUGUAAAAGUAAAUGGUCAUUUACAUUUGUGUUAUUUCUCGCUAUAGACUACGAACUCCAUCGUACAUAUUUUAGAAUAUUUAAUUUUCUUUUGAUAUUAAGUUUUAUAAAUUUUUAAUAUUAUUUAUCUAAUAUUUAUUAAGUUUCAAAAUUGGUAGUUUUUAAUUAUUAGGCAAAUAAUAUUAAAAAUUUAUAAAUUUUGAAUUUAAAUUUGUAAGUGCUACUAACUUUUUCAUCAUUAGGUUUAUUCUUUUGAUAAUUUUUAUUUUUUGAAUAAUACUAUUCCAUCAACCACUACUAAACUCAUGAAUGCUAUAACCACGGCCCUACAACUACUUGAUCUAAGGACUAAAAAUUUACAAGUACCAAUAACUUAUGCUAUCAGAAAUACUUCAAGUCAGCUUUCUGUUACGACCUUAGUAUUUUUGUUCGCAAAGCACGUGUAGCGCCCGCCUUCCGGCUCGAAGAUAGAUAAGCCUAACUCUUUAUUGCAAGCCUACACCUCCACGUCCUACGACUAAAUAUGCAAAAAGGAGAGAAGAGAGAGGGGUAAAGGUUCUAAAAAAAACCUAUUUAGAAAAAUUGGAUUACAAUAUAUAACUCCUUUUGUGUCUCUAAUUCUGUUUUGGUCUUAGCCAACCCUUCUACUUAUAGGCUCAUAGAUACAAUAAAUCUAAUCUAUACUAACUCACAACUAAGCAUACAUUAAAGCACACAUUAACUCACCUAUUAUCACAUAGUAACGAGUCCUUAUGAAUGCAAGGUGAUUCUAACGGUUGUUCAUAACCCUUGAUUUUUCGCUGGCGAUUUUGGAACCAUUAAGUCCGGCACAUGAUCCUUUCUCUCCCAUAAUGACGGCUGGUUUUAGCCCUCCUUUACAGCCCGCUCCGCUAGCGAAGUUAAGCCAGAAAAUCAAAUUAUACUGCAAUUUCGUGAAGUCCUUGGUAUUUCUCUCUCUAUACAUAGAGAAAGAAAAAAUUGAGCUCAUGUGAUUUUAAACGCACAAGAAUAUUUAUGUAUUUGGAUUUUUAAGCCGUCGGAUCGUCUCAAGAUUUUUGUACAAUACUAAUAAAUAAGACUUAAAAAAAUAUACUGUUAAUAAUAUUGGACAGAUCUUGAAACGGUUGGACGGCUAACUUAAACCAAAAAUUCAACUAAAAAAAUAAAAGACGCUUAGGACAACUUAAGAACGUGUUAACUACCCCUUUCCAAGCUCUUAACCAGUAGGAUCCCUCCACGUCACACAAACUGCCACGCGGCAUCCUCUCAUUCGCCACAAAACCGUUAAUCGACGUGGUGAUCCAACGCUUAUAAGCACAACAACAAAGCUUAAAAAUUGCCUCUCGACGACGUCGAAGGCGAGGGGAGGCUCUAUUCCUACGCCGGAGCACGAGGCGGUAUCCUCACCGCUCGGCCCCGGUAAUCUCACCGCGCCCGUCACCGCACUCACCGGUGAUUAUAAAAGCGUUUCACUCUCUCUCUCUCGAGCGCCAUUUCUCCUCCUCCAAACUCAUCGUACGUGGUUGGGUCCUCUUCUUCUCCCUCCUCCACCUCGUAUCCAUGGCGAUCUCGUUCCACCUAGCCCUAUCGCUCCUCCUCCUCCUCCUCCUCCUCCGCGUCGACGAGGGCUUCGUCUCCGUAUCGGCCGCCGCCGCCGCGGAGAGCGUCGAGGUCGGUCCCCGAAACCCUAGAUCUCGGCACCUAGAGUUAGCUUCUUCGUGUUCUCUUUUUCCCGAUUGUUUCUCUAAUUUUGUGGUUUUUUUUUGUGGGGUGGGGGGUUCAGAUCACGUACGGCAGCGUGAUCAAAUUGAUGCACGAGAAGACCAAGUUUCGAUUGCAUUCGCAUGAUGUUCCGUACGGGUCCGGGAGCGGGCAACAAUCGGUCACGGGAUUUCCCAAUGUUGAUGAUUCCAAUAGCUACUGGGUACGUUUUGUGGAUCGCCAUUUUGCUUUGCUUUGAUCUGUAUAAUUUGGAAAUUAGGUGUUGUUCAAUGUUGGGGUAUAUCUAGUGUGUGGAAAUGUUUGCUUUGGAUUUGAAGUAGUUUAAAUUUCCCCCAUCAUUUUUGGGAACGAAUGGAUUGAUGUCUAAUUCGGUUGUUGCCGAAGUUUAGCGAGAGUAGAAAUGUUAGAUUUGCCGUCGGCCACGGCAAUGGCGAGAAGAACCCUGCAAAUAAUUCAUCUUUCGUGGAAAGAUCCACCCACCAUGUAUGGCUAGUAGUGUAUCUCCUCGGCAUCUUUGUGAUCCACUGUGGAACUAUUGUUUCUUCUUUCACUAACUUUGGCCAAAAACCAGGAUGUAAUUACGUCGAUUCAACUUUUCCUUAACCAGUGUUUCAUAUCUCAUAUGCAAGACUCGAAAACAAUUUUCGAUCUAGUGAAAAAUCAUUUUUACACAUUUUAGGAAAUGCUUCUAAUUUUCGUUUUCUGAACUUGCAGGAACCGAAAUUGAAAGCCUCUCUUUCUCUACUAAACAAAACACUACAAACCCUAAAUUUUGUCUUCCAUGAGUAGUAGUUUUAUCCUGAAACUGGUCUCCAUAGUUUUACAGGGAACAUAACAAGGUCUUAACUUUUGUUUUUCCCCCUCCAGUGUUUUAAGUUGGGGGACUUAUUCUUGAAUUAGAAUGAAUUAUAUAUUGCUCAACCUUCAACUUAGUUUUUUUGUCGGGAGAUAAAUGAAUGUCAUGUAGUCUCUUUUGUUGUGUGUUGAAAUCUCGAAAAGUAGUUGGAUAUAUUGUCUAGCAAUUAAUGUAUAAUGUACAUUAUGCCCUGGCUCGGUAUCUUUGUUCUAUGUGCUUCUUUGAUAAUUACUAAUUGGUAAGUCUUUCCACAUGCAUUCAUUUUUUUUUUUUCCUACAUUCAUCCAUCUCAUCUGUGUCGUUAAUAUUUUAUAGGGUUUUUGGGUUGUUCAAGAUAUAGUAGUAGCUUUAAGUUGAUAUGCUAAUUUUCUCUUUGUACAUUCUCGUAGAUUGUAAGACCUACCCAUGAUUCGUCUGACAAACAAGGCGAUGCCAUUAAAAGUGGAACAAUUAUCAGGUUGCAACAUAUGAAGACCCGAAAGUGGCUGCAUAGCCACUUGCAUGCGUCGCCAAUUUCUGGGAACUUGGAGGUUAGUGUUGUUUGGGUUGAUCUAUCUAGAGAAGUGGUAACCUUUUAUUCGAGUAAAUGCUUGUUUGAGUUAUCUUGCGAGUACUAGAUUCAUGCCCUGCAGGCUGCAGCAGGUUCAAAUUCAAUUUACUAUGUCUUGCAACACGAACAUUGUAAUUAAUAUUUUGUAAUAAUCAAAACUAUUUGAUGUUCGCUGGAGUCCUAAUAACUGAACAUGAUUUAUUGAUUAAGUUAAAUUUGUUACUUGAUAAUAGAUUGAUAAUUAGAUGACUGGAGGAGAUUUUUGGGUCAUUGGCAAUUUGAUAGAAGGUUUGGUUGUGAACUUAAUUGUAACAGUAAAUUAAGGGUGAAGGGUACGGAGUUCACUAAAAUGAAGACUAGGUUACGGACAUCAGAUGAAUAGAGAUAAACCCUGAAGGUAAAUAUCUUGAGAAAAAGGGCGGUGCGGUGGCAAUGAAAAAGAGGAAGUGGAACAAAAGGAACAGCAUAGAGUAAGUAUAUGCUGUCCGCCACACUGAAGACUAGGUUAUUCGAAUAGGAACUAUAGAUAUCAUAUAUAAAGGUAAAUAUCAGCAUAGAGCGCAUUAAGGGAAGGUGGUGUACAUUAAACAUUUCGACCAUAGAUUUAAUAAAUCUAGCAGCCUCGUCAAGGCCAUAAUUCCAAAGUAUGUGAAGUUGGCUGCGAAACCCGUAUUCUCCCAUCUUUCUUUUUAGGUCUUGCCACCCAUUUUAAGGAAUCAUUCCUUUUCUAUCCAGUUUCUCCUAUAACUUAAUUCUACUUGCACUAUGUUCUUAUUGUCACGUAUAUAUCAAUGAAAUGAAGUGGAUGGUGCGAUACUGAAGGUUUAAUUUGCCACCAUCUGUAGGUGAGUUGCUUUGGAGCGGAUGGUGAAUCAGAUACUGGGGACUACUGGAGGUGUGACUUGUUAUUCAUUUUACUCAUGUACCUUGAACCGUUAUUUUAUGAUAUAGUCAAUAUCUUUUUUCUUCCUUAUUUUGUUACCUCAGGCUUGAGAUUGAAGGUAGUGGAAAAACAUGGAGGCAAGACCAAAGAGUAAGACUCCGCCAUGUUGAUACAGGGGGCUACUUACACAGUCACGACAAGAAGUACACUCGCAUCGCUGGAGGGCAGCAAGAGGUAAGAAGAGAGAAUUUAGUGAUAUUCUCUUAACAGUGUCACUCCCCAUGGUAUCUCUAUAUUUGACUCUUAAGAUAGAAUAUACUGGAAGUUCCCGAAUGUCCGCCACAUUGCAGUUUCGCUCUUGAUCUUUCAUUUACAAAGCUCGAGUCCUUGAACUUACAUAACAUGUUACAUCGUCAUUGUCAUUCGGGACCAUAAUCCAUGAACAAUUUUCAAGUCUGCUGAGAGUUGACCAUAUAACUAACAAAUGGCAGAUGAAAAUAAAUUUAGUUGAGUGGAUUAUGGAUCAAAUUGCACCAGAUUUAAAAUUCAAGAACUACUACUGCAUUAAGUUGUUAGAACUUGUCUUCUUGUUAACUUGAUUAUGAUCUCUCUUAUACAUUUGACGUUUUUAAUGUUCUAUUCACAAAUUACGGUGCUGCAGGUUUGCGGUGUCCGAGAGAAGCGUCCAGACAAUAUCUGGUUAGCAGCUGAGGGGGUAUACCUUCCUGUCAAUGGAAGCAAAUAGAUACUAAAAAUCUCGUAGAGUUGAAACAGGAUUAUAAACUCGUCGAGCUGAUGCUGACACAUGUUGCCUGUUUAAAUUUUGAACUAAUCGUGGAAUAGAUCACAAAUUACUUGCUGUGUUAGGUAUAAUUCUUAAUCAGUGGAGAAUCGUGAACAAAACCAAUUUUAUUUUUUUUACUCUUAUCUGUGGAAAUGAUAAUGGAAGUUUGUUGUAAAAAUUUUGGCCGCCUACAAUUUGCAAAUGUAACGAUCGAGUCUCUAGUCAUUCUUGUGGUUCUAGUUAUUGUAUCUCGUGAAUCAGCUCACUUUCGAGUUGCGCCGCUUAUUAGCUCUUUAAAUUGAAAUUUUCAAUUGUUAGAAGUGUAAUUGAUAUAAGAUUGGGCCUUCGUCAUCACCAUAUUUGGACCGAUGAAGUUGUGAUUCGGUCAAAAAUUAUGUUCAUGAAGAGUAUUAGUCUUGUUAUUAUCUAUCAUGAAAAUAUCAAAAUAUCAAGAAGAUCUGUUAGGUAGCCACAAAUAUAAUCUGCCGCUGGAUGGUGAAUGUUUUCAGUAUAUGCUAAUUGAUGACAAGAUCAAUAUUUUUAUUCCCACCGAACUUAAUUUUCAAUCGAAGAACGUUUAUUUCAAUCCAAACAUUUUCUAAACAAAUAUUUAGUAUUAUUACAAACUAAUAGAGUUUGCCUUCAUAUGAGUGUGAACUCAUAUUCUGUUAUUAUUCUGAUGUUUUUCGCUAGAAAGACGAAUAAUCAGUCAUGUCAUGUUGUUAUUUGCUUUAUCCGUAGGAGUUUGCUUUAUCCGUAGGAGGUGUUGCAGUGCUAGAUGCUAGUAUUAUUCAGUGCUCGAAGAUGGGGAUUGAAUCGAAGAUCCAUUGAAUGGCGAGAGUUUGAGAUACUGUGAGAGAGUGAGUCUAAUGCCAUAUUACCUAAACAAUCAAUCUGAUGUAAAAUGAUCCAAUAAUAUACUUAACAUCGAUGAAAUGUUCGAGGGAAUGUUGUCGUGUAACGUUCUCUAUUGGAACAUUUAAUCAACCCGAGAGUCCGAGACCGACCAAACUUAACGCAAUUGACUAAAAGCUUGAUGAUUGAUACCGAAAUCUUAAGUUAGAAACUUAGCUAUUUAAUAUUUUUAACUAACUUUACUUUGUAAAAAUGAAUACGGCGAAUAACUCAGCCACAUUUUUCUGAAAACAAAAAACAACAUUUUAACAAGCUGAGGAAUGAGGAUAGCAUAGCCAUCGACCUGUUCAGCGAAAUAAACACUCCUGCACGCUCCAGCUCUUGGACAAAAUUGUUUGAACUUGUCACAGAAUGAGGGAGAGAAAUAUGUCACUCCAAGAUUUUACAUUUUCACAUUAUUGGUUACCAAUUUAUUGCAAAAUUUAACGAGCCGUUGAACUUAAGUGUUUCUUUUCUUCUUUUUUUUUGAGACAGAUAAGUAAUAUGCUAUCCGUUUCGUUUAUUUUACUUAGAAAUAAGCUUAGCUGGAAAUGUGAAUCAACUAAGAUUCGAACUUGCGACCUCAGGUACCAACCACCAAAUCUUUUGCCACUUGCUCUAGGGACGGUCGGUAAAAGUGUUGCUAUUAAUGCAUUGAUAUUUGGUUCUUGUUUCAAUUAACUCACCUGAUUGGGAGUUGUCCAAUUUAUGCUUUGUUGAGCUUACAGGUAUAGUAUUUUGCACGUGGCUAGAAAAUUCAAUAAAAAAAUAUUUUUCUUUUUCUUCUUAAAUAAUAAUAACGUGUUAUACAAAAGACACAAGUUUAAUUAUAAUAUACUUUCUCCAGUUUUACCAUAAAAUAGAGAAUUAUUGUUUUUAUCAUAAAAUAGAGAAUUAUUGUUUGGUUUGGGAAUUAGGGAAGAAUUAGGAGAACAAGGGCCUUACUCUUCAAAAUAUUUUUUUUUUGAGAGAGAAAUAAGAGAGCAGCAUUCGGGAGGAUUCCAGACAUUUUUGCUGAUUUAGAGGCGUAACUAUCAGUUGCCAUAAUACCAUUUUUCAGAAAUAAAGUAUCACAGUAGUUACUUUAUCUGGUACAUCACCUGAAGAUUGUUGACUUAAAUGGGCCAGUAUACUGCCCUGUGGCAUGAGGUCAUGUUGGACCGAGUCAUAUUUGAACUAAUGUAAGGCUUGAUGAGUCAAAUCAUAUUCGAAAUCGCGUGAGGUUGAUUAGACUAAGUCACAAUCAUGACCCGUGGGCGCUGUAUCUGUAUAUUUUAAGUGAAUUGGUAGCGUAUUUAUAACAGCUCGAGCUUUUAAGAUUAACGGUUAGCGCAACGAUCCGACAAAGAUUAUUAUGAACUGCUUGUAAUAAAAGGAGAUCGAGGGAUGAUCCCUUCGUAAGAUGAAGUAUAAAAUCCGAUGAUGAAACCUAAAUUAAAGUAUGAAGUAUGAAAAGUCAAAGGUACAUAUGUAAAUUUAUCCUGUAUUAUCUCUCUAUCAAGUUACAACUGCAUUACAGAUACAGCGGUAGUACGGAGGCUUUCGUGCUAUCAAGUUGUUUUCAAUGAUGCGGUAUUCAAAUCGACGAUCGGCUUCGUUAGACUUGAUCUACACUAUUAAAAGUAUUUGAAAACUAAAUUUUAUAAUUUUUCAACAUCAUUUGGCUAGUGAUCAAAAGGACUCAAAAUUGACAAUUUUAAUGAUAGAUCUGAUGCGUUUGUGAAUUUAAUAGUGUAAAAUAAUCCAAAUAUGAUAAAAUUUUUAUAAAAAAUUCUUCACUAUUUAGAGUAAGAUCAGUACAUCUAAUCUUAAAUUCAAGCCUUUUAUUAUUAUUUUUUAUAAGAUUUUUAAUUUCAGCUGUUAAUUUUUAGAUUAUUCAUUUGAUAAAUAAGUGAUACCGAAAAAUUAUAAAAUUUAAUUUUCAAAUAUUUUCAAUAGUGCAGAUCAAGUCUAACGGAACUGAUCAUCGAUUUCGAAGCCGCAUCAUUAAAAACAACUUGGUUGGACGGGGGCCUAGCUAUAUAUAUACAUUAGUCGAAUGUACGUGCAUUUGCACAUAACAAUUAUUUUAAUUUAUUCAAAAUUAAUAUAAAUUUGUACAUUAUAUUUAUCCAAAAAUUCACAAUAAAAAUUAUAUUUUAUAAAUUAUACAUUAUAUUUUAUUAGAAAAUAUUUGUAAUAUCCUACAGUGUUAUUUUUUUAUAUAAAUUAUAUUUUUUUAUAUAUAUAUAUAGUUACAACUGUAUUAUAAUUAUAUUAUGACUAUAUGAAAAUCAAAAUAUGACGUUUACUUUAAUGAAUUUGAAUCUAACUGCUACAGUUAAAACUACACAGAGUCUCAACUAUAAUAGUUCGAACUGUGUCCAAACUAGUCACUAUUCUAAUUGCAAUAGUUCAAAAAAUAAAUUUAAUCAAAGAAUAGGCUUUACAUCACUAGUAGCCUUUUAAACAUUUUUUUUUAAAAAAAAACUAUAAAUACAAAUUUUCAACCGUACGUAACCAAACAAAUUAUAAUAACUACAAUGCUUUCUAUACCCAACCAAACACAAAUUAUAAUAACUACAAUGCUUUUCAUAAUUAUAACGGCUAUAAUUUUACCCAAAAAAAUAGUUCUUGUACCCUCGAAAAUAGAGUAUAAAUAUUACAUCAGUCAUCCGAGAAUUUAAAAAAUUCUUUUAAAUUUUUAUAUAUAGCUAAAAAAAAAUUGAUAAGACUAGUGAAAAAUAUUAGCUCUGGCAAAUAGUGUAAAGUUUAUUUCCAAUUUUCUCUCCUAAUUACGGAAUUUUCGCAUCUAACCAAACAGGCGGAGCUUAUAUUUAAUAAUAUAAAGAAGAACAAUCAUUUCUCACGAGGCUGUUCAGACUUCAGAUCCGAAUAGUGGGUUCCUGUUUAAUACGGAGUUACUACUAUUAUAAGUUAUAAGAUGACAAAUAAGAAUAGACACCAAUAGCUGGAACGGAUCAGAACAUCCACAAAAAUAGGACUUUUUUUUGCAUCCCCUACAAAAAAAUUUAUUUUAAAAAUAACUUCAAUAAAUUUAAAUUUACAAAAAUAGUCCUGAUCUUACCACAUAAGCGCCACAUCAGCACCACGCAGAUGGGUUGGGUUGUUAAGUUGAAUACGGUGAAUCAUUCAUCGUGUUUGAACACGGUAAAUGAUUCACCAUAUUUUAUACUUAUCUUUUUUAUAAUAUGUAUAUUUUUUUCUUUUUCUUUUCUUUCUUCAAACACGGUGAAAGGUUCAUCGUGUUUGACUUAACUAUUUAGUCCAGACCCGCCCGCAUGGCACUGAUGUGGCACCUACGUGAUAGGACCAGAACCAUUUUUUCAAAUUUAAAUUUGUUGGCACUCUUUUUAAAAUAAAAUUUUUUUAAGGGACUAAUUGCAAAAAAAAGCCCACAAAAAUAGAUUCAGCAAAAGAGAGAUCUCGUGAUUCCAAAGUUCACCAACCCUCAGAAUGAUAUCCAAAUCCCUCAUUGAAGUUCCUCCUAUCCCCACCGUCGCUUUCAUUUCCUGCCACCAAAUUAGAUGAGCCCUAGCUAGUGUUUUAUUUAGGCAACAAACAGGGGCCCUAACUAGAAAUUCUUUUGUAGUAACAGAUCAACUAGAUAUAACCUUUCACUCUCUCUCCCCCUCACCUCUUUUCAGCUCCUAGGUCCGGCGGUUUACACUUUACAUGAAGAUGACAGCCAUCCCUCACCAACCAACCCGAAAAGGUCUGCCUGCUGUCAAUCGUCCUGACACUACCUACUAUUGGGUAGGGUCAAUUCGACAAAGAGAUUGAAUCAGACAGAAUAAUAUUAAGAAAAAAAAAUUUGAGGAGGAGUGUUUAACUAUAAGAAGGCCCUUGGGAGGCAGGUGGAAUGAAUUUCUAGAAGUGCUUUUCGAAUAAAACUAAUCAAGAAAGAUACGAGAAUGAUUUGAUAAUUUCUUGUUGCAGCAAAAGCAGGGGUAGCAACAGAAGCUUCAAUGAAGUUUCGGAAUAGUUGAAUAGUUGUUCGAGAGGCUAGAUCAAAACGAUAUGUAACAUUCGCUGCUACAUCCGACAUUUCUAACUCCGGUAAUUAAUGGCACACAGAUUUCAUUUCCACCUUCUUUUUGUGGUCCUUUGAAGAAAUUUUACUAGUACACUCUGAAAUUAAAGGAGCAUCAAGACUUGUACUGCAUUCCUUGUCAAAAUUGUUUCAGAGUACCACAAAAAGAUGGCAGAAGAAGAUCAAUGGGGCUGCUGCAAAUUUACCAUAUUUUAAUACAAACCCAGAAUAUUUAUACGCUAAACAAGAAUAGUAAACUAAAGAAAGGACACAAACUAGCUAUCUAAUCCCUAUCCCUAUACAAAAAUGUAUUAAUUAAUAAUAUCAACAAUACCUAGAGAGCCCCGGAGGAGGAUGUAAUUUAUAAGAGAACGUGAUGCUGCUCACUUUGGUAAAUUCGGUUGGGCCAUCGCACUCAGAUCCAACUCUUUUUCCUGCAACAAAAGCACAUGGGUUGCAUAAAUUAGUACGCAUGAGCAAAGAUGAGCAAUUUAUCACUGCCCCCAAAACCACCCACCCCAGUUCCCCACUGAGAUUCCCAAGCAGAGCUGAGUAAACCAGAGAUCUGGUAUUUCAGUGUAACUGCUGUAAAUUGCACUUGUGGGAGUAAAAUGUGAGUUUCUAAACAUGUGGGUCCACCACAAUUUUAACAAAAGAAAAUGGUUUUGAGCCUUUGAAUACACAUUUACGAACUGAUUAAAGAAACUAGUAAAAACGUACAGAACAUACCUGAACUAUUACCUAAAACUAUAAAUUUUUUUGAAUCUGUGUCUACCCAAACUUUUAAAAUUUUUAUUCACCAACCAACCUUUCAACUUGUUUGAUUUGAAUCAGUUAAUGAUACUUCGACUUUAAAAUUUAAACCGAUUACUUACUGUAAUGAAUUUCUAAUUGCGAGAAUUACAAAAACUCUGUAAAGAUAAACGACACACUUAAAAUUUAAAGUCAAAAUGCUAUAGACCGACUCAAAUCAAACAAAUUGAAAAAUUGAGCAGUAAUAUCAAAAUUUCGAAAGAUUAGAUAACCAACUCAAAAUAGUCCAUAAUUUAAAUAAGUACUGUACGUUUUUACCUAAAAAUUACUACAUUAUGUAUGCAUAUGUCGGCAACUUAUAUGUUAAUAAUCACUAGGUUGGUCAAGUGAUUGUUAUAUUAGGAUACUGGUUGCGAGCUUAUAAAAUGAGGCUCCUUAGACUUAAAAUUUUGCCUUCAAUGACUGAAGAUUCAUAUAUCUGUGCACCAAUAUAUAAGGACAAAUGAAUCAGACAUACAAUCGACGGUAUAAAACCAAAGUAUUUGAGCAAUCUAUAGCACUGCCGUAAUUUCAAAGUAAUAAAUAAGAAGCAUCACUAUAUAUUUACAGCAAUAGAAUAAAUGCUCAUUGCGACUCCGUUCAAAAUAAAAUAAAUCAUUUUUAAGCUAAAAUAUGUUGUUUAAAAAUUAUUACCAUUGCAUUUUGGAAUUGGCUAAAUAGAAAAUUGCAAAUUGUAAAACACAAUGCAAAAUUUAUAUAUAUAAACAUCUUCUUCAAUAUAUUUUAUAAUUUACUUAUAAAGCUUGUGAUAUUCAGCAGAUAAGGAGUUGGAUUAAAUGUCACGAUUGGAGUACUAUACUAGAUCUUCAAAGUUAUAAAAUAAUAUAAAUCACCUUUGUGAUAAAAUAUGCUACCUUAUAAAACCAAGAAUAAUAAAACUAUCCAAGCAACUACCAAAAAAAAAAAGUAAACAUUGUAUAAAACAUGCCUAAACUAUUAUCCAUUUUGAUCUUAAAUACCCAACCUCUAAAAAUCUCCCUUAAUUCAUUGAUAUAAACCACUGAGUGGCUCUUUAAUUUCAAAAUUUGAAUGCACUGUUUAUCUUUACAGGUUUAGUUAAUAUAUUUCAUACAAUUUGUAUAACUAUAAAUUCAUUAAAAUAAACUAUUAGCAUAAAUUUGUAUCCGAAAAGCCAUCAAACGACUUAAAUCAAAUAAAUUAAAAGAUUGGAUAAUAAAAUCAGAAAUUUUGAAAUAUUGAAUAGUGGAAUGAGAAUAAUCUAUAAUUCAAAUAAAUUUUACACAUGUUUAUCAAAAAAAAAAGUUUUAUAUCAAAAUAUUUACCAUUUUAGUUCUAUCCCAUUCAUGACAGUAGAAAGGACUCUGUACUCUAUAUGAUUGAUGGAAACGACCCACCGACCGUAGUAAUUAAGAAGGAAGAUGUUUGACUGAAACAGUUAUCAUUUAAGUGGCUUGUUUUAACUUUUUUGAACAUUUGAAAAGCUCAUACGCACAUGGAAAAUUGUUUAAGAAGAACUGGUUUAUCCCUGAUUUACCAAUUAAUAUAUUUAUAUAAUAAAAAAAUUAAAGUAAAAACCAUAGAUAACUUAUUUAAACUACGGAGAAUGGACUAUUUUGAAUCGACUAUUCAAGUUUUCAAAAUUGUUAUUUUUUCUACAUAAUUUUUUAAUUUGUUUGAUUUGAGUCAAUUAAUAGUACGCCGACUUUAAAAAUUAAGCUAAUUUUUUUAAUAAAUCUCUAGUUGUGAGAAUUACAUUAAAUAUACUAUCUAAAUUUGUAAAGAUAAACAAAAUAUGUUAACUCACAUAAAUCAAAUAAAGUAAAAGAGUAGAUAAUAAAAUUAAAACUGUAUAAGUUUGAAUAGUGGAUUCAUAAUGAUCCAUAACUCAGCUCUAUAAAUUUCUAUAAUUUUUUUUUUUAAAAAAAAAUAAGUGAGAUCUUGAUCAUAGAUAUUGCCCCACCACCUAAUAAUGAACCCCAUGCUUUUGGCAUAAUGACAAAUGACUCCAUCCAAAAAGGAAAGCACAAAAUUUUCUUUUUCAGAAAAAUCAAAAGAGAAGAAAUCAUUACUGAAGGAGACGGAAAAGCGAGAAAGAGGAGACGAUCAUGACCUUCUAUUUCUUUAAAUGAUAAAUAAAUAUAAUAAAAGUAACAGUAGGGCGAAAUAUGCAUGUCGAAUCCCUCAACAAUAGGCUAUAUGAAUUAUAUCCUCCAACUUUUUUUUUUUAAAGGGCUAUAAUUUUGAUUGGCCGACGUGAAAUAAAUCUUUAAAUUUGUUUUUAUGUAGGUGACAUUAUAGUUUAGAUAGGAAAUUACUGCUUUUCUAUUAUGCAUUUUAAAAUAUAAAUUUUUAUUGACGUUUUUUAGGGGCCGAGUCAAGUUGAUAUGGACUCGUUAUGCACUUGUCAAAAUUGGAACUAUAGUAUCCACUUCCCGGUUAGCAAUGCUCAAAUUUUAUAUUACUAAAAUAAAAUUUCCAAAUUAAUUUUAACAUUUCAUACAAAGUAAUAACUUUAUUUUAUAGUAAUUAUUAAUAAUUAAUGAAAUCUGCAACUUUAUAAAGAACAGGCAAAUUUAAUGUACGCACUAUUCAAUUUCAAAGGCUUUUAAAUUAGCUACAAGAGAUAAUCAAAACUAAAAAUAAUUAAGAGAUAUAUGUCACAAUGACCUGUAAACUACAACUUGUACAGAGGUUCCUAAACAAUUUUUACACCUCUAUAAAAUUUUUUUACCAAACAACCAACAACAAGGGUCAUAUAACCUUACAAUCCUCCGUUCUGGAGUUUAGCCAAAAUUUUUAAAUUUUUAACAUUAAAAAAAGAUUAAUAUUAAAAAAAAUAAAGUGAUAAGCGUAUCAUAAAAUCUACCGUGCCUGGAUAGAAAUAUUAUAAAAUUAUAACUAAAACUUAGUGUAAAUUUUAUUACUCAUGUUGUCGGACAAAAAGCUGAAAAUUCAAUUCUUUGUGUGUGUGUGUGUAUAUAUAUAUUAAGGUUAUUAUAUUUUUAUGAACAAAAAUUUCUUGUUGGCAUAAAUUAUUUUAAAGGAAAACUUCAAAAACUCCCUCUGUGGUUUCGUGUAUUCUCAUUUUGUGCUACCCUGUGGUUUAAAACGUAUCAAUUUACCCCUGUGGUUUCGUUUUAUCUUUUUGUUAUCAAUUUAUUAUUUUUUUUUUAAAAUCAGUGACAAAGUAAAAUUAAGGAUACUAAAAUGACUAUUCGAUAAAUAUAGAUGGUUAUCUGAAGUUUUUUGUAUAUAAUUAACGAAAUAUUAACGAAAAAGCUUCCGAAAAGAUAAAAAUGAAACCACAGGGGGUUAAAUUGAUACUUUUUAAACCACAGGUAGCAAAGUGAAAUGCACGAAACCACAGAGGGGUUUUGAAGUUUCCCUAUUUUAAAUGAUGAAACUUUCAAAUUAAAUACAUACGCUAAAUAUGAUAAAAUAUUUAAUUUUUUUUAAAAAAUAUUUAAGUUUUGUGAAAUUAUAAAAAACUCCAUUGAGCAUAAAAUGAACGAUCAAAUUAAAAAACUUUCUAAAAUAAAAAAUCAAAAUUUUUAUUUAAUAUCAGAGUUAUAGAUCUCAAUCUAAAUAGUGAAUAAAAUUUUCUAUCUAAAAUUCAACCGAUUUUUAUUUUUUAUAUUUUAAAUUAGAAGCAUCUUAUACCUAUCGAUAAAAAUUAUCAAUUUAAAUUUUUUAAUCGUAAAAAAUAAUAUUAAAAAUUUAAUAAAAUUUAAUUUUUUUUUUUUCGAUUUAAAAUACUUCUAAAUUAUGUUUAACGCAUGACGUCGAUAUCGAAAAUUUUAUUAUCAAAAUGACUUAUGAAUAACAAAAGUUGAUUGUACUCCAAAAAUAAUUAGCCGAGUGCGAAAAUUACAUAAAAUACGCUAACUAAAAUAUAUAUAAAAAAAUAAUAUAUUAAAAUUUUAAAAUUAAAUCAAAUAAAUUAAAAGAAAUGUAUAUUAGAAUCGAAUUUUUGGCAAGAAUAGAUAGUAUACCCAAAAUAAUUCCUAUUAUUACGUAUAUCUUUACUCGAAAAGAGAAAAGAAAAGAAGAGAAAAACGCUUGCCUCAAUUUCGGUGUUUGUGGUUUGGGUUAGAAGGCAAGCUCUUGGAGGGGAGGAGGCGAGCGCCCGAGGUGCUCGGAGGGCGCGAAUCCUGCGGGCAAAUUCGCCCGCUUCACGAUCCUCCUCAUGUUGCUCCUGCAAGUCUGCUGCUGCACCACGCCUUCACGGGCGCGCUUCUCCUCGCUCAUCCCACCUCCUCAUGACAUAAAAUUUCUUGUUGGCAUAAUUAUUUUAAAGGAAAACUUCAAAAACCCUCCCUGUGGUUUCGUGUAUUCUCAUUUUGUCACCCUGUGUUUAAAACGUAUCAUUAUCCCCUGUGGUUUCGUUUUAUCUUUUGUUUAUAAUUUUAUUAUUUUUUUUUUAAAAUCAGUGACAAAGUUAAAAUUAAAGAGAUACUAAAAUGACUAUUCGAUAAAUAUAGAUGGUUAUCUGAAUGUUUUUUGUAUAUAAUUUAACGAAAUAUUAACGAAAAAGCUUCCGAAAAGAUAAAAUGAAACCACAGGGGGUAAAUUGAUACGUUUAAACCACAGGUAGCAAAGUGAGAAUGCACGAAACACAGAGGGGGUUUUUGAAGUUUUUCCUAUUUUAAAUGAUGAAACUUUCAAAUUAAUACAUACGCUAAAUAUGAAAAAAUAUUUAAAUUUUUUUAAAAAUAUUUAUAGUUUUGUGAAAUUAUAAAAACUCCAUUGAGCAUAAAAUGAACGAUCAAAUUAAACUUUCUAAAAUAAAAAAUCAAAAUUUUUAAUUUAAUAUCAGAGUUAUAGAUCUCAAUCUAAAUAGUGAAUAAAAUUUUCUAUCUAAAAUUCAACCGAUUUUUAUUUUUUAUAUUUUAAAUUAGAAGCAUCUUAUACCUAUCGAUAAAAAUUAUCAAUUUUAAAAUUUUUUAAUCGUAAAAAAAAUAAUAUUAAAAAUUAUAAAAUUUAAUUUUUUUCGAUUUUAAAUAUCUCUAAAUGAUGUUUAAGGCAUGAAAUCGUCGAAUCGAAAAUUUUAUUAUCAAAAGUGACUUAUGAAUCAAAAGUUGAUUGUACUCCUAAAAAUAAAUUAGCCGAGUGCGAAAAUUACAUAAAAUACGCUAACUAAAUAUAUAAAAAAAAUAAUAUAUUAAAAUUUUAAAUUAAAUCAAAUAAAUUAAAAGAAAUGGUAUUUAGAAUCGAAUUUUUGCAAGAUAGAUAGUAUACCAAAAUAAUCCUAUUAUUACGUAUAUCUUUACUCGGAAAAAGAGAAAAGAAAAGAAGAGAAAAACGCUUGCCCAAUUUUCGGUGUUUGUGGUUUGGGUUUAGAACGGCAAGCUCUUGGAGUGGAGGAGGCGGUGAGCGCCCGGAGGUGCUCGGAGGGCGCGAAUCCUGCGGCAAAUUCGCCCGCUUCACGAUCUCCUCAUGUUGCUCUGCAAGCUCUGCUGCACCAACUGCUUCACGGCGCGCUUCUCUCGCUCAUCCCACCUCCUCCUCUCUGCCUGCCUCCCCCCUCUUCUCCUCCUCCCCCUCUCCCUCCUCCUCCCUCGCCAAUGGCGCCGACACCGCCGACGAGCCCGAUACCUCCUUCCCCUUGUCCACACGGAGAAUCUCGAGCGUCCGCGACGCCCUCUUCUGGGCGAGCGCGCUCCCGAGGAGCGUGAGCUCGAGGAGGGCGGAGACGACCCCGGCGUCGGCUAUGGCGGCGCGGUCGGCGACGCGGCCCUUGUGCGCCAUCACCAUGAGGACGUACGCCGCCUUGUCCUGGCACCCGGGCGCGUCGCACCACCCCAGCGCGUCCACCAGGAUCGGGAACGCCUCCGCCGCGUUCCGCCCCACCGCGCGCCGCCCCUCCGGCGCCGCCGCCACCAGGUUCGCGAGCGUCGCCAGGGCGCGCUCGCCCGCGCCGGCGUCCGCGUCGCCCGCGGCCGCGAGCAGCGCCGGUACGAGCCCCGCGUCCACCAGCCGCGGCGCGUUCGACGCCGCGAUCGAGAGGUUGAAGAGCGCGCGGAGCGCGUCGGAGCCGCUCGGGUUGGGGGUAGGUUUAGGAUAAGGGUUAGGGUUAGGGUUUUGGAAGGCGCGCACCAGGAAGGGGAUCGCGCCGGAGGAACCGAUGAUCGGCUUGUUCGAGUCGAGGGCGCUCAGGCUGAGGAAGUUCGCGACGAUCGCCUCGGAAACGGAAGCGGAAGCGGAAGGGGAAGGGGAGGCCUCGUCCUCCGGGGAUCCGAUCAUCCCCAGCAUCUUGUGCACGGCGCCGGCCUUCACGAUCGCCGCCUUGUUCCUGAACCAAAAUGUGGAUCGACCGAAACCCUAAGAAAUGUCGUUUGGAUCGAUCUGAGGGGACGAGAGAGGUUAGGGUUAGGGCUCACAUGUCGUUGCCGAUCCCGAGGUUGAGGAGCGCGUAGAGCGCCGCGAUCCGGAGCUCGAGAUCGUCGGCGUCCAGCAUCCCGAUCAGGGGCGGGAUCGCGCCGAGCAUCGCCAGCGUCUCCCGCGCCUCGGCGUCGUCCUUCGCGAGCCGCCGCACCUCCUCCGCCGCCUCGCGCCGCCGAUCUCCGCCGUCGCCGUCGACGUGGAGCCGCCGCACCACGCGCUGGAGCUCCUUCAGAGCCUCGACCUUGCGCCGCGCCUCCUCUUCCGCCGCCGCCGUCGCCGUCGCCGUCGCCUCAGCCGCCUCGUCGGAGCCCGACUCCGACGCCUCCGCCCUGAGGAGCUCCGCGAGCCGAUCGGACCUCGGCCGCGGCAUCGGCGACGAGAACGCCGCCGCCGCCACGGCGCAGCCGCGGCCGCCGCCCCUGCGGCGGCGUGGGCGAGAGACGCCGCCGCACAUGAGCGCCUCGAGGAGCCUGCGGCGGAGGGACGCCGCGGAGAAGAGCGGCCAUAGUCGGAACCCCGCGUCGCCACGAUCGCACUUCGCCAUUGCCGCUCCCCAAUGCAAGAACCUGCUCCCCCUCUGUCGAUCACUACGUCACAUCGUCGGAGGAGGAGGACAAAAAGCAGUGGAUGCGACAAUGGCUUGGAGGAGAAGCCACGGCCGUAGAACACUCGGCUUCUCUUAAACGCAGCUUUUACUUCUCUCUCCAGCAUAUAUAUAACGCGGCGCUAUCCUCGAGGUGCGCUCUCUCUCUCUCUUCUCUCUCUCUCCUCUGAGCUCGUCCUUACGGGACGGGCGACACGAUGGCUCUCGCGCCCUGUCGGUUUUUGAGUGCGUUAAUUGCACUAAAUAUUUCACUUUAGUCCCUCAACACUCUAAUAUUUACAACCGAGUAUAUAUGCUCUUUUUUUUUAUUUUAACUACUAAUUUUUAUGACAAAUUAUUUCAACAAAAUGCUAGGUUCUCGUGUUGAAGUUAUAAUUUAAUUUGAUAAAAUAGAUUUAAUAAAAAUAAUUAAUAGGAUUUGAAAAUUUAAACAUAACACGUAAAAAAUAAUUAUUACUUUCGUCCAAGUAUAGUUAUACAUACUAUUGGUCAUCAGUUUGAAAAUUUAAUUAUUUUUUAGUUUAUUUAUUUUCUGGGUUAAAAAAUAGUAUAUAUUUGAGAGAUUUUGAGAUAGAAGGAUAAAUCUAAAAAAUAAUUAAAUAAAAAUUUAUUAAGACCCUCUUAUUUGUAACUAUUUUUAAAAAAUUAAAUUAAAUAUUUUAAAAUGUAGCUUUAAUAAUUUUAUUAAUUAAUCUAUUUUUUAUGAUCAUUGUUGUUAAAUUUAAUAAAAAUAACCUAUGAAUUUGCUAAAAUCUUUGAUUUAGCCGAUAAAAUUUAUUUAUUUGAAGAGAAUUCAAAAUUAAAGGAGAGUAUCAAUCCAACCAAAAAAAAAAAAAAGUUGAGAUGCGAUAUUCUAAAGUCCUAUAAUUUAGGGGUCUCGGUGCAUGUUUACCAAUAUUAAACUUGUGCUAAUGAUGCAAUUAAAGCGUUUGAGAAAUAUAUUUUUAUAAUUAGGCUUGCAUUUCGAGUAUUAUUAUUGAGGCUUAGAAGUGUGUUAUUAAAUAGUUAAAGUAGUCAGAGAUAAUUUGACUUUUUCAGAGGGCCGGGGAGUUAUUGGGUCGUGCUUUAAAAUAAGCGCAGGUUUAAUAGAGAAAGGCUGACUUAGAAAGUACAAGUUAGGUCAUGGAUUUGGUUCGAUUUACAACAAUGCCACUGUACCUGCCAAUAGUGUAAUACACUAUUAAAUAAAUACUCGCUCUGGCCACGGUGAUUUAUUUAAUAAAGGGAAAACUUCGAAUACCCCCUUGUGGAUUAACUUUUUCUCACUUUGGUACCCUAUACUUUAAAGUGUAUCAAGUUAGUACCUUGAGGUUUCGCACUUUCUCACUUUAGUACCUUGUGGUUUAAAGUGUAUCAAGUUAGUACCCUAUAGUUUCGCACAAUAUUUCAUUAAAAGAAAAAUAAAACUACAGGGUAUUAACUUGAUACAAAAAUAAAAUUAAAGGUGCUAAUUUAAUACAAAAAUAAAACCACAAAAUACUAACUUGAUACACUUUAAACUAUAGGGAACUAAAGUGAGAAAGUGCGAAACCACACGAUACUAACUUGAUACACUUUAAAUCAUAGGAUACUAAAAUGAAAAAGUACGAAACCACAAUGGGGUUUUUGAAGUUUUUCCUUUAAUAAAUGAUCUGAAUACGAGUUAAAUUUUUCGACUUGAAAAUUUAAUAAGUAGAACAUAAGUUGAGAUCAGUUCGCUUAUUUUCGACUCGAUAUAGCUCGAAUAUAUAUUUAUUUUUGCUUUUUAAAUUUUUAUCCCAAUCUGAAUAUAAAGAGAUUUAUAUUUUGUAAAUUUAAUUAUUAGAUUAAGAUUUUAAUUUUCUACAUUUUUUUAAACUCAUAUAAUAAUAAAGCCGGUAAUUUAAUUUGUUGUUCGCAAGCUAGCUUGUAUUCGACUCAUUAAUAAAUAAGUCGAACACGAGUUAGAUUUUUCAGUUCGAAAUUUUAACAAGCCAAUUAGUGUGUGGCUCGUUUAAUAAACGAGCGAACAUGAAUUGGCUCUAGCUCAUGUUUAACGGUCGUAUCUGCAGGGAUAAAAAUUAGUAAAAUAUUACCUAUACAUCUUUUAUAAUGUGUAUAUCUUAUAUCGAUGACAUUUUUUUAGUAAAUAAUUUUUUUUUUUAGAGAAAAGUAGCAUGCUAUUUGUUUUAUUUAUUUCAUUUAGAAAUAAAUAUAGCUAGAAAUAUAAAUCAGUUAGAAUUCGAAUUUAGAAUCUUGGGUGAUUUUUUGCCACUUACGCUAGAAACAAUGGGUUUAGUAAAAAAUUGUUAGAUAGGAAAAAAUUAGGACAUAUAUUGUAUACCUGCAUGAUAGGUGUAUAGAUAGUAUUGCUCUAAAAAUUCUAUAAGAUCAGCAUCAAACUAAAAUACGGUGAAGCUGGAUAUAUGUCAUGCACGCGUUUCCGGGAACGAGUACUAUUAUUUGCGAGUACCAAACAAAAUAUUUGAAAAUAAAGAGAUGAAUAAGAUCUGAUUCUUCUUUUUAUUUUCGAAUCAAACCGGGGCUAAAGAAUAAAAAUUAAUAAUAAUAGCAAACUAGGCUUGAGCAAUUAAUUUUUAUAAUUCAAAAUAUGACUAUAUUGUACGGACACGAGGGUGGGGGGCAGAGUUAUUGUUAUGCGGACGGUGCGAUGGACGGGGAAAUGGGAACCGGAUUGUAUGGNGACAGUAACAAUAAUAAAUAUUAUUAUUACUAUUUUUUUUUUUUUCUUGAGAUGGUGUGUGGUCAAGCGUGGUGGAGACCAUAGUUAGUUAGUGGAGAGUCUGGAGACUUGGAGUGGGUGGGGCCCGAGGUAUGGUGUUAAAUUGAUAAUUAAUUACAGAUUGGUCCUUAAAUUUUUCAGAUUUUUCAAUUCAGAUUUUUUUUUAUAAUCAUAUUACAAAUAUUUAUUAUGAAUUUCAAUGGAAUCACUUUUGACAAAAAGUUAUUAUCACUCGGCAAAAUCUAGAGCUUCCGCGGCAUUAAUUUGAUAAAUAUUGGUUAAUACUAACGGAGUAAUUUGGCUAAAUUACAAAAAAAUUUCUGUCAAUACCGAUUUUUUUAUUUUUUUUUGUCAUUCAAAAAUCUAUAAUUUGCUCUGUUAUAAAAUAAAAAUAUUUAUAUGAGAAUACAUUGUGACAAGAUAAUCAAAUUGUCCUCAACUUCUUCGGGUUGGGUGUGGACAGAGGGUGGACGAGGGCGAGAGUGAGGCGGCGGAGGCGAGCGAGAUCGUGUGUGUGGACAUGGAUAGAGAUGUAGGUGAGGGCAAAGUGGCGAAGGGCGAGGUGGUGCGAUCGAGAUCGGAGAGGAAGGAUGAGGGUUUCAAGAAUAUUUUGGGUAUAAAAAAUAUGAUAUAAACAUAAUCCAAACAGUACUGUAACGGAACACUUACGGCGGGUCAAAAUGAACAUUUUUUAUUUAAUAAAGAGACAAAAUGUAGGUUGAGAGAUUUUCUGUAAUUUAGCCUAGUAGUUUUUGUUAAAAUAAAUAUUUUUGAAUACUAAAUAUUAAGAAUAUGAUCUGAAAAAGUUGGCAAUGGAAAAUAAAAUGAUAAUAAAGUUGUGGUACAAUAAACUCUUUAAAUUUUAAAAAACACCAAGUCUCUAUUUAAAAAAGCUUAUAAUUUCUGCAAAAUCUUGUCGGAUUGUUGGCACUAACCACAACUCAAUUAAAACGUAACACUUUCCACGAAUCUCAAUUGUGAUUUGGUUUAACCAGCCUCACGUUACUCCGAAUAUAACUCGACCCAAUAUAGCCUUCUGCCACACAUCAAAAUGCUAGGGCGCAAAUUCAUAGCAUGCGAAAAUUAAAUCCGCGAUCUCUAAUUCUGAUACUACUUAUAAAAUUAUUGGCGCUAAUUAUUAACCCCAAAAGCUCAAACUAUUAGAAAUAUACUACCAACUUAGUUAAAACGUAUAGAUGCAACGCCCAUGAGUCUCUAUUAUGACUUGAUUCAAAUAAUCUCACAUUAUUUUGAAUAUGACUCGGCCCAUUCUAGCCCACGUCAUUUUGAACUUAACUCUGCUAAUCUGACUUUCCGCCGUAAGUCAGAAUGUUGGCUCCUUUAAGACGACACACCUUAUCUAAAAAAUUAUAGAAUUUACUAACCUAUUUUAAAUUUUAGAUAAAAAGAAUAAUACCACAAGUAAAAUAUAGAAGGCUUUUAGCAAACUACAUUAGAUAGUGUCAGUUUAUUUUUAACUAUUUGAGAGUUUUCUUGAAUGAUCGUUACGUGAUUUGAAUAGUGUGACUAGCGUAAGUAUGGGAUCAAUCAAUUGGAUAAAAUUGUAUUUUACGGCAUAAUUUUUAAUAUACAUUUGUAUGCAUAAAUCAGUGUCGGUGCUACUACUUUUUUGCCGCAGUGCUGAGCUGUACGCUUGUACCUAUGUUCCGAAUAGUCAACAGCUGUUGACUUUUAUUAUGUGAAUCUGGAGAUUAGAUCUAUCAAUUUUUUAUUAAAUCAUUGUUCCGUUGGGUAGCGUUUGAUUCGAGAAUAAGGAGAAAAUAAGCCCUCAUUCCCCCUUUGUUCCCAAACGUGAUAUUUGGUAUUCAGGAACAGCAGUUCCGGAAAUUUCAAGAACAAUAGUUCCAGAGUUUCAAGAACCCUUUUUCUAAAAUAAGCUUGUUCCUUAAUGAGAACAAAAUUAAUUAAAAUCUAAAUUUAAUUUUAAUUAACCAGUAAAUUAUUAAUUAAUCUAAUUAAUAUAUUUAAAUUAAUAUUUAUUAUUUUAAUAAUUUAUUAAUUUAUUAAUUUAUUAUUUAUAAUUAAUUAAUAAUAAUUAGAUAAUUAUUAUAAUUAAUUUAUUAUUAUUUAUAAUUAUUUAUUAAUAAUUAAUAAUAUUUAUUGUUAUUUAUUAAUAAUUAUUAAUAAUUAUUAUCCUUAAUAAUUAGAUAAUCGAAAGUAUUAUUAAUUUAUUAUUUAUAAUUAAUUAUUAAUAAUUAGGUAAUUAUUAUUAUUAAUUUAUUACUAGUAAUUAAUUAUUAAUAAUUAUUAUUUACUAAUAAAUAUUAAUUAUUAUUAUUAUUUAUUAAUAAAUAUUAAUAAUUAUUAUUAUUAAUAAUUAGAUAAUCGAUAUUAUUAUUAAUAAAAAUUAGAUAAUCGAUAUUAUUAUUAAUUUAUUAUUAAUAAUUAAUUAAUAAUAAUAAUUAAUAAUUAUUAUUAUUUUAUUAAUAAUUAUCAAUUAUUAUUAUUAUUAAUUAGAUAUUCAAUAUUAUUAAUUUAUUAUUUAUUAAUUAAUUAUUAAUAAUUAUUAAUACUUAUUAUUAUUUAUAAUUAAUUUAUUAAUAAUUAAUUUAUUAUUUAUUUUUAAGUAAUAUUUUGAUGUUAAUUAAUUACAUAAUAUAAUUUUAAUUUUAAAUUAUAACUCUUAUUCCUCUUAUUACAAUUUAACCAUCCAAAUACUAUUUACCUUAUUACUAGAAACAACCCAAUUUUCAUCUAAACGCAAAAUUGGUCUAGUUCCUGCUUAUAUCUGAACUUGUACCUAUCCCUGAAACUAGCAGUUCUUACUUAUACCCGAACCAAACGCAGCCGAAAUUCGAGUUUGGUUCGGAAACGAGAGGAAUAAAUUCUUGUUCCCUCUUUAUUUCCGCAUGUAAUUUUUAGCAUUGAAAAAUAAUAGUUCUCAUAUUUCUAAAAUAAAUUGGUAUAAUUCGGUAUAAAUUUGAAAUUGUUGUUCCAUCCUUUUUUCUAAAACAAACAUAUUUCCAAAUGAAAAUAAGAUCAAUUAAAAUUAAAUUUUAAUUUUAAUUAUAAUAUUAAAUUAUUAUUUAAUCUAAUUAAUAUAUUUAAAUCAUUAUCCAAUUGCUUUAAAUAAUAAAACAAUUAAUUAAUUUAUUAUUUCUAAAUAAUUAGCUAAUUAAUUAUUAAUAAUUUAAUAUGUAAAUUAAUAUUUAUAUUGAUCAGCCAUUAAUUUUUUUAUUAUCUAAUUAAUUUUUUUACGAGUUAUCAAAUUAAUAUAAUUUACUAACUAAUUAAAAAGUUAAAUUAUUUUUAUAUUAAAUUAAUUAAUUAAUAUAUUUUUAUUAUUUUAUACAAUAUUCAUACUUUCAUUCGUUAGUUUAUUCAAUUAUUCCAAUCUAACCAUCNUUUCGAACCAAACGGAAGCUAAAGAAUAAAAAUUAAUAAUAAUAGCAAACUAGGCUUAAGCAAUUAAUUUUUAUAAUUCAAAAUAUAACUAUAUUGUACGGACACGAGGGUAGGGGGCAGAGUUAUUAUUAUGCGGACGGUGCGAUGGACGGGGAAAUGGGAACCGGAUUGUAUGGGGACUUUUUUUUUUUUUUAUUGAGAUAGUAUGGGGUCAAGCGUGGUGGAGACCAUAGUUAGUUAGUGGAGAGUCUGGAGACUUCGAGUGGGUGGGGCCCGAGGUUGCCCUGUUAAAUUGAUAAUUAAUUACAGAUUGGUCCUUAAAUUUCUCAGAAAUUUUAAUUCAGAUCUUUUUUAUUAUAAUCAUAUUACAAAUAUUUAUUAUGAAUUUCAAUGGAAUCACUUUUGACAAAAAGUUAUUAUCACUUGGCAAAAUCUGGCGCUUCCGCGGCAUUAAUUUGAUAAAUUUGAUAAAUAUUGGUUAAUGCUAACGGAGUAGUUUGGCUAAAUUACAAAAAAUUUUCUGUCAAUACCAGCUUUUUUAUUUUUUUGUCAUUUAAAAAUCUACAAUUUACUCUGUUAUAAAAUUAAAAUAUUUAUAUAAGAAUAUACUGUGACAAAAUAAUUAAAUUGUCCUCAACUUCUUCGGGUUGGGUGUGGACAGAGGGUGGACGAGGGCGAGAGUGGGGCGACGGAGGUGAGCGAGGACGUGUGUGUGGACAUGGACAGAGAGGUGGGUGAGGGCCAGGCGGCGAAGGGCGAGGUGGUGCGAUCGAGAUCGGUGAGGAAGGAUGAGGAUUUUAAGGAUAUUUUGGGUAUAAAAAAUGUGAUAUAAACAGAAUCCAAACGGUACUCUAACUGAACACUUACGGCGGGUCAAAGUGAACAUUUUUUAUUUUAUAAAGAAAUAAAAUGUAGGUUGAGAAGUUUCUGUAAUUUAGCCUAGUAGUUUUUGUUAAAAUAAAUAUUUUUGAAUACUAAAAAUUAUGAAUAUGAUCUGAAAAAGUUGGCAAUGGAAAAUAAAAUGAUAAUAAAGUUGUGGUACAAAAACUCUUAAAUUUUAAAAAACACCAAGUCUAUAUUUAAAAAAGCUUAUAAUUUUUGCAAAAUCUUGUCGGAUCUUUGGCACUAACCACAACUCAAUUAAAACGUAACACCUUCCACGUAUCUCAAUUGUGAUUUGGUUCAACCAGCCUCACGUUACUUCGAAUAUAACUCGACCCAAUAUAGCCUCCUGCCACACAUCAAAAUGCUAGGGCGCAAAUUCACAGCAUGCGAAAAUUAAAUCCGUGAUCUCUAAUUCUAAUACUACUUAUAAAAUUAUUUGUGCUAAUUAUUAACCCCAAAAGCUCAAACUAUUAGAAAUAUACGACCAACUUAGUUAAAGCGUACAGAUACAACAUCCGUGAGUCUCUAUUAUGACUUGGUUUAAACAAUCUCACAUUAUUUCGAAUAUGACUCAGCCCAUUCUAGCCCACGCCAUUUUGAACGUAACUUUGCUAACCUGACUUUCCGCGCACAGGUCAGAAUGCUGGCUCCUUUCAAACGACACACCUUAUCUAAAAAAUUAUAGAAUUUACUAACCUAUUUUAAAUUUUAGAUAAAAAGAAUAAUACCACAAGUAAAAUAUAGAAGGCUUUUAGCAAACUACAUUAGAUAGUGUCAGUUUAUUUUUAACUAUUUGAGAGUUUUUUUGAAUGAUCGUUACGUGAUUUGAAUAGUAUAUAUAUAUUUUUCGAGAGAUAGAUAGCACACUAUUCGCUUCAUUUAUUUCAUUUAGAAAUAAAUUUAGCUAGAAAUAUAAAUCAACUAGGAUUCGAAUUUGGACCUCGGGUACCAAUCAUCAAAUUUUUUGUCACUUCUCUAGGGUCGGUGUGAUUUGAAUAGUGUUACUAGCGUAAGUAUGGGAUCAAUCAAUUAGAUAAAAUUGUAUUUUACCGCAUAAUUUUUAAUAUACAUUUGUAUGCAUAAAUCAGUGUCGGUGCUAUUACUUGUUUGCUGCAGUGCUGAGCUGGACGCUUCUAGCGGUGUUCCGAAUAGUCAACAGCUGUUGACUUUUAUUAUGUGAUUCUGGAGAUUAGAUCUAUCAAUUUUUUAUUAAAGCAUUGUUCCGUUCCGUAGCGUUUGGUUCGAAAACAAGGGCGGAAUAAGCCCUCAUUUCCUCGUUGUUUCCAAGCAUGAUGUUUGAUAUUUGGGAACAGUAGUUCUAAAGUUUCAAAAAUAAGCCGGUAGAAAGUUGGAACUGUUGUUCCACUUUUUUCUUAAAACAAACUUGUUCCUUAAUGAGAACAAAAUUAAUUAAAAUCUAAUUUUAAUUUUAAUGAUAGUAAAAUAUUAAUUAAUCUAAUUAAUAUAUUUAAAUUAAUAUUUAUUACUUUAAUAAUUUAUUUAUUUAUUUAUUUAUUAUUUAUAAUUAAUUAAUAAUAAUUAGUUAAUUAUUAUAAUUAAUUUAUUAUUAUUUAUUAAUAAUUAUUAAUAAUUAUUAUCCUUAAUAAUUAGAUAAUCGAUAGUAUUAUUAAUUUAUUAUUUAUAAUUAAUUAUUAAUAAUUAGAUAAUUAUUAUUAAUUAAUUUAUUACUUAUAAUUAAUUAUUAAUAUUAUUAUUUAAUUAUUAAUUAAUAAUAAAAUAAAAUAAUUAUUCUUAUUAAUUAGAUAAUCGAUAUUAUUAGUAAUUUAUUAUUAAUAAUUAAUAAUUAAAUAAUAAUUAUUAUUUAUUAAUAAUGAUUUAUAAUUAAUUAUUAAUAAUUAGAUAAUUAUUUUUAAUUAAUUUAUUACUUAUAAAUAAUUAUUAAUAGUUAUUAAUAAUUAAUUAAUUAAGUAAUAAUUAUUAAUAAUUUAUUAAUAAUUAAUUAAUUUAUUACUUAUAAAUAAUUAUAAAUAAUUAAUAAUAAUUAAUUAUUAAUAAUAAUUAAUAAUUAUUAUUAUUUAUAAUUAUUUAUUAAUAAUUUAUUUGUUAUUUAUUUUUAAGCAAUAUUUUGAUGUUAAUUAAUUAGAUAAUAUAAUUUUAAUUUCAAAUUAUAACUCUUAUUCCUAUUAUUCCAAUCUAACCAUUCCAAUACUGUUUAUUUUAUUACCAUGAAUGACCUAAUUUUUAUCUAAAAUUAAAAUUGGUUUAGAUCCUGCUUAUAUCUGAAUCUGUAUUUAUCCUUGAAAUAAGCAAUUCUUACUUAUACUCAAACAAACGUAGUCGCGGGAAUAAAAGAGCGAAUAAGAAAAAUAAAGGUCUUACUUCACUCCUUAUUUUUAAAUAAAAAGUUUAUUCUUCUCUUAAUGGAUUAUUUAAGGAUAAUUUAUGAUAACCUGUUAAAUGAGUGAAAUUGUUUCUCAUCUUAUAUUUAUAUACUAAUUAAUUAUAAAAUAAAAUAUUACCAAACUAAUACAAUAACUAGUGGUUGAGGGUGGUAGCAUCAAACUCUAAUAACCCAGUGAACAAUUACCCAACUCACUUCUGAUAAUAAAACGAUGUUUAUAAAUUAUCAUAGAGAUAUUUUAUAGAGAUAUAUUAUGUAGAGUUAGACUGAAAUAUUAUCGGUAGCAAACGAACUCAUUGUCACCAUUUAUUUUCGAUAAUAGAGCCUUCAAAUCGAUGAUCGAUAUCGUUAAACAUAAUCUAUACCAUUUGAAAUAUUUUGAAACCAAAUUUUAAAUUUUUUCGACAUUAUUGACCUAAUGAUCAAAGGGUUUCAAAAUUUAUAAUUUUAAUAGUAGAUAGAGGCGUUUUCUCGUUUAACAGUGUAAAACUAUCCAAAUCAAUUAAAUUUUGGUUAAAAGAUUCUUUAAACUAUUUAAAAUAAAAUCUGUACUCUUAAUCUUGAUUACAAAAUUUAUAUCAUCACUUUUUAGAGGAUAUUUAUUUUAGCUGUUCAUUUUUACGUCCACUUGAUGGACAAGAGAACAAUAUCGAAAAAAUAUAAAAUUUGAUUUCUAGAUACUUCAAGUGGUAUAGAUAAUAUUCAACGGUGCAGAUCGUCGAUUUGAGGCUUAUCAUCGAAACAAAUCAGUGGCAAUGGAGCACGUUUGCUACCGAUAGUAUUCCAGCUCAACUCAUAUUACAUAAACGUAUUAUACAAAAUAGUAUAAUAGGUACAGCUACUGCUGUAACCUAAUAGUUCAACAUCUCGUGAAAAAAAAACUUAUACUUAAAAAUAUAUGAACUAAAAAUUUUUAUAUUAAUUAAUAAUUGAGUUUAAGCAUUUUUGACUUGAAUCGUAAUAUUUUGUACAGGACGAGAACACAUAAAUUUGGGCUUUGGGAUGAACACGAGCCGGAUUUCACAUAAUUCCAAAAAAACCCAAAAGUAUUUUGGGCUUAGAUUUUUAGGCCCAGCUCAAGACCCACUCACGUCUCACGCGCGACGUUAUCCAAAUGGAACAGCGUAACUGCCCUCUCGAAAUAUCCUCCAGGAGCCCAUCUAAUCGGACGACACGUGUGCGUCAAGUUUCGGGCAUAACCGACUCCGGCGGAUCACUGUACCCACAGUAUCCAUCUCCUGUUCUCGUUCUCCUUUCCCGGCCCUUCCCCCGCUCUCUCGCGUCGACCUCUCUCCUUCGCCCCCUCUCCGCCACCAUGGGAGCUUAGCACCCCACCCACCCGGCUCCGUGGACUCCCAAACCCUAAUCCGUCCCNAUUAUUUAAGAAUAAUUUAUGAUAACAUGUUAAAAGAGUGAAAUUGUUUCUCAUCUUAUAUUUAUAUACUAAUUAAUUAUAAAAUAAAAUAUUACCAAUUAAUUUAUUAUAUAUUAGUUUUUUUUAUUAAUUAACUAGAUAAAUACUUAAUCACUUGCUUUAUUGCUAUAAUAAAUAUUUAAUUAACUAUUUGAGUAAUUACUUUAUUAUUUAUAUCUAAUAAGCUAAUUAAAAUUUUAAUUAUUUAGUGUGCUUAUGCAAUAACUAGUGGUUGAGGGUGGUAGCAUCAAACUCUAAUAACCCAGUGAACAAUUACCCAACUCACUUCUGAUUAUAAAACGAUGUUUAUAAAUUAUCAUAGAGAUAUUUUAUAGAGAUAUAUUAUGUAGAGUUUGGCUGAAAUAUUAUCGGUAGCAAACGAACUCAUUGCCACCCAUUUAUUUUCGAUGAUAGAGCCUUCAAAUCGAUGAUCGAUAUCGUUAAACAUAAUCUAUACCAUUUGAAAUAUUUUGAAACCAAAUUUUAAAUAUUUUCGACAUUAUUGACCUAAUGAUCAAAGGGUUUCAAAAUUUUUAAUUUUAAUAGUAGAUAUGAAGCAUUUUCUCGUUUAACAGUAUAAAACUAUCCAAAUCAAUUUAAUUUUGGUUAAAAAAUUCUUUAGACUAUUUAAAAUAAAAUCUGUACUCUCAAUCUUGAUUACAAAAUUUAUAUCAUCACUUUUUAGAGGAUAUUUAUUUUUAGCUGUUCAUUUUUACGUCCACUUGAUGGACAAGAGGACAAUAUCGAAAAAACAUAAAAUUUGAUUUUUAGAUACUUCAAGUAGUAUAGAUAAUAUUCAACGGUACAGAUCGUCGAUUUGAAUGCUUCAUCAUCGAAACAAAUCAGUGGCAAUAGGGCACGUUUGCUACCGAUAGUAUUCCAGCUCAACUCAUAUUACAUAAACGUAUUAUACAAAAUAGUAUAAUAGGUACAGCUACUGUAACCUAAUAGUUCAACAUCUCAUGAAAAAAACUUAUAAUUAAAAAUAUAUGAACUAAAAAUUUUUAUAUUAAUUAAUAAUUGAGUUUAAGCAUUUUUGACUUGAAUCGUAAUAUUUUGUACAGGACGAGAACACAUAAAUUUGGGCUUUGGGUUGAACACGAGCCGGAUUUCACAUAAUUCCAAAAACAAACCCAAAAGUAUUUUGGGCUUAGAUUUUUAGGCCCAGCUCAAGACCCACUCACGCGCGACGUUAUCCAAAUGGAACAGCGUAACUACCCUCUCGAAAUAUCCUCCAGGAGCCCAUCUAAUCGGACGACACGUGUGCGUCAAGUUUCGGGCAUAACCGACUCCGGCGGAUCACUGUACCCACAGUAUCCAUUUCCUGUUCUCGUUCUCCUUUCCCGGCCCUUCCCCGCUCUCUCGCGUCGACCUCUCUCCUUCGCCCCUUCUCCGCCACCAUGGGAGCUUAGCACCCCACCCCCGGCUCCGUGGACUCCCAAACCCUAAUCCNCCCCCCCCCCCCCCCGAUCCAUCGUCGUCCCCGAUUUGGUAGCUAGGGUUUAGAUCGGAGAUCCGCUAGGGUUUUUCCGAUGUCGUCGAUCCUGCCGAAGAGCGAGAGCGUGGAGAUCCGCGAGGUGUGGCGCGGGAACCUGGAGGCGGAGUUCGCGCUGAUCCGCGAGAUCGUCGACGAGUUCCCGUACGUGGCGAUGGACACGGAGUUCCCCGGGGUGGUGAUCCGCCCCCUCGGCACCUUCCGGUCGAGCUCCGAGUUCAACUACGCCACGCUGAAGGCGAACGUCGACACCCUGAAGCUGAUCCAGCUCGGGCUCACCUUCUCCGACGAGCGCGGCAACCUCCCAGCCUGCGGCGCCGGGCGGCGCGGCUGCGUGUGGCAGUUCAACUUCCGCGAGUUCGACGCGCGCCGCGACGCCUUCGCCGCCGACUCCAUCGACCUCCUCCGCCACAGCGGCAUCGACCUCGCCCGCAACGCCGAGGACGGCGUCGACGCCGCCCGCUUCGCCGAGCUGCUCAUGUCCUCCGGCGUCGUGCUCGACGACGCCGUGCGCUGGGUCACCUUCCACAGCGGCUACGACUUCGGCUACCUCCUCAAGCUCCUCACCUGCCGCAAGCUCCCGGAGACGCAGGCCGGGUUCUUCGCCCUCAUCCGGAUCUACUUCCCCACGGUAUACGACAUCAAACACCUCAUGAAGUUCUGUAACAGCCUCCACGGUGGGCUCAACAAGCUCGCCGAGCUGCUCGACGUCGAGCGCGUCGGAGUCUGCCACCAGGCCGGCUCCGACAGCCUCCUCACUUCCUGCACCUUCAGGAAGCUCAGGGAGUCCUUCUUUAACGGCUCCACCGAGAGAUAUGCCGGCGUCUUGUACGGCCUCGGUGUCGAGAACGGUCUCGAGAACGGUCUGGAUACCGCUCAUUGAGUAAGAAUAAUGAUAAUAAUCAUCAUCAUCAUAAUGAAAAAAAAAAAGAAAUUGGUUUGGUGAAUUGUGUUGGUUGAUGCUUUCUCGUGUGAUCUGCUUGAUUGGUGUUGUGUUUCUAGUUACUUACCAUGUUUCUGAAGUUGAUUUAACAUUGAUUGUUAAAUCAACCAUACCAUACUUCGGUUCUUUGUGAUCUCCACGACGGUAUGAAACUUUGUUGGGAUCUUCCUCUCCUGAUUGUAGUUUUUGAUACCAAUUGUUAGAUUUAACAAAUAAUCCUAACAUAUCCGGAUCGUUCUAGGACUCGGUGGGGUAAUCGUAACAAGCUUAAACAGUAAUAUGUUUCCCCUCCUUUGAGAGGCUCUUCAUCCACUGCCGUUUGUUUCGGAGGUGGUGUAUAUCUUAUUUGAUUUUGCUGCAUGUUCAGAAUUUAAUUAUGAUGACCGGAAAAAUGAUUCUUUUUUACUCUCAUCUUAUCUUCAAUAAGCACUAUUGAAUAUUCUUGAUGGCAGUUUAGGGAUUUUGCUCAGGUAAAUUGAAUUCUGUGGAUAGAUUUAUAAGUUGUUGUUCUUCAGAAUUUUACAUCAUAGCGCAUGCUAAUUGUUUUUGGUAGCUUAGCUUUACAAAAUUGGAUCCUUAGAAUUAUUGUAGUCUCAUUUGAAGGAGAAAAAAUGUGUCUGUUUAGUACUAAAUGUGAUCAAGUUUGGCCAUGAUGUUCCUGUCACAUUUGAUUAACCGAGUAGAAUAGGUGGAAUUCAUAUAAUAGCCUACUGAUCUGAUGUACUUAUUAUCGUGUUAGCAACUCUAGAAAGGAUGUUUCUUAUUCGAAUUAUUAUGAGAACUUUGAUAAAUGCAUGUUGGUGGAUAUCACUAUCCUCAUAAAUCUACCUAAAUGCUAAUGGAACGAUGGUGUUUGUGAGGCCUUGCAUCCUAGGGAGUCACCCAUCCUAGAACUGUUUUAAUCCUAGCACGCUUAACUUUUUUAACCUCUUGAGCCUAAUCACUGUCCAAAUGCUAUAGCCGACGGGUUACGAGAUUUAGCUCUAUUUUAUCUCAUAUAUAGAACUAUUCUAAAUACUGGGGGUGGCACGGUUUUGCACUCGUAAAUAGAUACCCCUUUUGUAUUCCGACAUCUGCUUUACUCUCUAGUAGUUCGGUCCUUAACAUAGAGCUAUGAAAUUGAUAUUCCUAACUUCCAUUUGGUCCUCGAACUUGCCAUUGAAUUUCGAAUAAAUUGUGAACGUCAUAAUAAUUUGUCUUGUUAGAAAUACUGUAAAUAACAAUCCAUUUGUCUUGCUGUAUUGGCCUUCUUCAUUUUCUAUUUUUAAAUGUGCUAUGUGUUUCUCACAUGCUUAAUUUCAAUGACAAGUUUUCGAAGUAGCAAUCCUAGGUAACAAAGUGCUAAAUUUUGAACAAAGGGAAAAAUCAGAUAUUAGAUAUACAUCAAAGUUUUUCUUUCUAAUCUUAACUGUAGUAGUUAUAUCGGCAAAAAUAUGACCAGAGCAGUAGUUAUAGCGACAAAAAUAAGACCAAAGUGUAGUAAGUUUAAAAAGAAAAUCAUGAAGUAUGCUACUGAAGUCCAAUUUAGCUUUUAGUUACCACUUCAGAAUGAUGAAAGAACAACUAUUGAUGGAUAAGAACUACAUAAGUGGGAGUAUCUUUCAUACCCUAGUUUUAUAGUCCUCUGUGAUGGGAGUAUAUAGAGCUACAGCAAUUUGGCAAGAAUUUUGAUAUAUACUUCUCAGAUUUAGAAGAAGUUUUACUGGACAAAUUUCAGAUGGAUGAUUCAAUUGCUAGGAAAUAUAGAAUAUAGAAUUUAGAAGUUUGUGUGUUUUAUACAUGUAGUAUUCAUUUAACUAUGUGGAAUGAGCUGACUCCAAUUUGAAAGCGAGAUUCAAAUAGGUAUUCAUUUUCUACUGUUAUUGUCAUCUUUAGUUUGAUGUAAAUUGACUUUCUCUUGGUCAGGAUUUGAGGAUAUGGAUUCUGUGUAAGCUUAAUUGCAUUCUUCGUGUGUAUUGCUUGUUCUGCUUCUUCCUUGUGUCGCCUAACACGGGAACAAGUGACAGUUCAAACAAACUUUGCUGUGCAGAAUUAAGACGACAUUUUUACACCUGCUUCAUGGUAAAUUUGGGAUUACAUUUUGUUUUCGUGAUUGUGAUUCAGAUGCAUCGUGCUUUUUUUCUUUUCUUUUCUUUUUUUUUUUGUUUUCUUUUCCCAGAAUGAAGGCAGAUCAUGCCCAUUAGAGUUCAAUGAAAUCUUUGGUUCAUUCAAAAUCCAUGUUCAAAUGGGUUAAUGAAAUGUAUAGAAUUAUGGAAACACUGGAGAAUGCCAAAUUGGGCCGAGUACAUGUUCUAUUUUUGUUAUUUUUGUUGUUAGUUUGGCCUUGAAUUAGAGACAUCACUGAUUCCGAGCUCUCUCAAAUAUUCACUUUGUGGUUGCACGUGAAAAUACACAUGCAACUGUAAUAAUCAAAUAAGGCGCUAUUUAUAGUGCACUUUAAUUUCUCAAUUUGAAAGCACGUAUAUGUAAAAUUUAAGGUGACUUAUUUAAUUUGGUUUGAUUUUAAUAAGUAUAUAGUAAAUAGUGUAGAGCUAGUAUAAAGUAGUUGGUGCUUUCAAUUUUUUAGCCCUUAGAUUAAAGAUUCUACGGUUGGGAUGAUAGCGGUCCCUUUAGAGUUGAGUGGUCCCCCAGGAUUGAGUAGUCCCAUUGGUUAAUAAUAUUAAUCCAACGGUUAGAAAUGAUCAAUGGGGUUGAUUUAAGAGCUAAAAAAUCGGAAGCGCUAACUAUUUUAUGCUUCCGAUAGUAUAGUAGCUCUACUCUAAUAAAUAAAUCCAUAUAUAUAUAUAUAUAUAUAUAUAUAGAGAGAGAGAGAGAGAGAGAGAGAGAGAGAGAGAGAGAGUAGGGCUACUAUACUCUUGAGUAUAGAGCUCUUCGUAUUCAUAAGUUGUUUUUGGUGAUGGAGCUUCUGAAUUGACGAUCCACUUCGUUAAAUAUGAUCUAGAGUAUUUGAAACUUUUAGAAAAUAAAUUUUGUAUUUUUUUUUAAUCAUAAUAAAGUUUAUCAAGCAGGCAUAAAAUGAACCGUCAAAAUCGAACGACGUUCUAAAAAUGAAUGAUCUGAUCCUUCAAUUUAAGAUAGAGUUAUUGAUCUUUAUGUAGAUAGUGAAUAGAAUUUUUUAUGAAAAAUUCAGCUUAUUCUAAUUCUUUUAUAUGGUUAAACUAGCAAGUAUUUCAUACCGGUCGUUAAAAAUUAUUAAUUUUGUGAUUUUUUGAUUGUAGUGUAAAUAAUAUUGAAAAAUUAUGAAAUUUGAUUUUAGAAAUUUUAAAUAUUUUAGAUAAUGUUUAACGGUAUCGAUCAUCGAUUCAGAAGUUCUAUCAUCGAAAAUGAUUUAUAAGUACGAGGGUAAUCAUGCUUAUAAGAGUAUAGCAGUCGGACUUUAUAUAUAUAUAUAUAUAUAUAUAUAUAUAUGAGUCAAGUUCAAAUGACAUAUGUGUAAUGGUGAACAGUGUUACACUCUUUUUGGGCCGUAGAUCUAAAUAAAAUCCAAGGAUCCAGCAAUGGCAACUUUUUUAACUUGUCAUUGAGUUGAGAUCAAAUAGUUGUCAUAUCUCUCACCAUCACUUUAAUGCCUGACGCGAUCUCGCACUAGCACACACACACACACACACUCUCUCUCUCUCUCUCUCUCUCUCUCUCUCUCUUCCCAAUAUCUUUUGGUGCAUGCAUUCAUGAUUUUUUUUUUCUCCUUCUUGGCCUGAACUUUGCAUCUCUAUACUCCUUUCACUUACUCGCAACAUACAUUAGAAGGGAUAAAGAAUCUGAUGCCUUAACCAUUUCUCUAUACAACAUGUAUGGUAAAUUAACUAGACACUUUUUUCUUUCCUUUCUUUUUUAAUUUUGUGGCAAUAGAUAUUACGGAUUUUUUUUGUUUUAUAUUUAAAGAAAUUUUUUGUCUGUUUAUAGUUACUAAAAUUUUUAACCUAUUCUCGUUAUUUUAUAUGCAUUAUCAAUUAAAGUUUCUUUUUCUAAGAUUUAACUAAAUUAGAUAACUAAAAGUAACUAAACAAAAUAUUGCCAUUUUAAAAUAUCCGGUAAUGUUUUCUUUUUAUUUUGGCAUCCUUUAAUUUUAAUUAAUUAUUUGAUUUAGUUAAUUUUUAGAUCAAAUGGGAUUUAUAAAAAAUUAGCUGUUUGUUGGUUAUUAUGUCAUCAUCAUUUAAAAAUUUCAUAAUUCUAUCAACUGCAAAGUGUCUAAUAAUUAAAUAAUAGAGUUACAUCCAAACUUAGCAAAAUAUCUCUAUACAUUUUACCUUUUUUCUCCUUUCAUGAUGUUCUAUCUUUCAUUGAAUUACUUGUUUAACCACAUGAAAUUAUUUUGUAUUGUGUUUUAUUUUAUUUUAUUUUUUUUCUGUUGAGCUUAUGUAUGUGUGUUCUUGUUGGAUGUUCUUUUCUAAAUAAUUCAUAGUUUGCAAAAGUUUACUUUGGAACUUUUUUGUCCAGAACAGUGGCUAAAUGUUGUAUGGGGAAUUCAUCACCAACUGUUAUUCCAAUUGCUUGUACUAUGAUGAUGCCAAUACUACAUAUAAAGAGACAAAAAUGCAAAAUGUACCAAUCUUGAAACUAAUUCGAAAAAUAUAUAUCAAAUGCCUCUGUUGACGAAUCAAUGAAACAUAUGAUUGAAUGGGUUUAUAAACUUUUGUGAUGUUGUGAGAAUUUCUACAAGUCUUUGCAAACAGCACGGUUUUGGUAUUCGUAUUCGGACAAGUCAAACAGGCUUUCGAAGUAAUGAAUUAGAAGUCGUAUAUAUGUAUGUGUGUUCGAAGGCCAUCAUAAGAGAGAUUUCAAAUUGAAGAGAGCACAAAUAGGAUGGAAAAAUAUAGGAGGAGUGUUCACUAUAAGAACUGUUGUGGGGCACUAUUUUAAGAUAGACGAGUAAGAAUAGUACAACUUGGGUUGUAAAUCAUUCAAAAAUGGAGCACAAUCAUAGUAUGAUUAGCCCUAAAAGUGUGUCAUAUCUAAGAUGUCAUAGAAAAAUGACUUCCACAGUUAGCCUUGUUGAAAAGUUUGAGAAGAAGGAAUUCCCACAGGGCAAAGUUGCAUCAAUAUUUAUAUAUGUUGCAUUAACAAUUCUCUAAUAGGGAUUGUUGGAACAUCUUAAAACUUAAGAGAAAGGACUUGGAUAAUGGAGAUGCAAAGCAGUCUAAGUUAUUUUUAAAGAAGCAGGCUGAAGAUCCGAAUUUCUUAUGUAUGCUAUUCAGAUGUGAUUGUGCAUGCUCGGAUUAGUAACUUAUUUUGGUGACUGCUCGGAUCUUCGUUUGGCUGAUGAAUAUUUUGGUGAUGUUGUUACAUUUUGACAAAAACAAAAUAAACAAAGGUAACAUGCCAUUUGCCCUUUUGUUGGAUUAAUCAAUCAAUCGUCAAUAGAUUUUAUAUUUGUUGUGCUUUGUUACAGAUGAAUCUGACAAAAGUUUUAUUUGGUAUUUGAAAACUUGGCUGAGAGGCAAAUGCAUGGAAUAGUCCACCAUACUGGUAUUAUGAUCAAUUUGCUAUUGAGCAGCUGUGAGAAAAUGUUUCAGAGUGUAGUUAGCCGUACCCCCGCCCCCUCGUUUUAUCGUUCGAUUAAAAAUUUCCAGGAACAGUUGUCACGAUUAUAUAUCAUAAAAACUCUGACUUCUAAGCGUGAAUUAAAAAAGAUGAUCGUAAUCUACUUACUAUAGAAGAGUUUGAAAAGGCAUUGGACAUGAACUGAUGAUUCACGAUGCUUAGAAGAAUGAUUGGCUUCAAGGUCUUUAGCAAGAUUAGAGAGUUUGGAUACCUGGUGUUAACCGAGCGACCCUUUUUGCGGGAAUGAUACACCCAAAGAAGUGAAAGCAUCAACGCAUUUUUUUGAUUCUUUUGUAAUUUCAACACUUCAUUAAAGAGUUUGCCAAGUAUGGAAAGGCAGUGUAAGUUAUGAAAAAAAAGAAUGAAGAUUUUAUUCAAGGCACAAAUCAACGCAUGUUAAGAAUUGGGUCCAAAAUAGAGGCUAAAGAUGCAGCAUCAAUUUACACAAGAAUAUUUUUAACAUUUUUCAAAUGAGUUUGUUAAAGACUUUCACUUACAAGGGAAAAGGUUGAAAAGAAUGGCUCGUGAUUUGUCAAUACAAAGUGUUGAGUUUGCUUUAUCUCAGGAUAUUGUUGUUGUUUGUCGUAGAAUUAGACUACAAAGCUGGUAGUUGUGGAAUGUCAUCAUCUUUGAAUUUAUGGGUAUUUGUGCAGGCAAAUUUAGCAGGUUUUUCAUUUGAAGAAUAAUUUUUGAAUUUCCUUAGCGUUACGUUUGUACACGUGGACAAAGGAAGCAAUAUAGAGUAUUGAUGUAUGGACAUAGAAUCGGUGUCGAAAAUUGAUCCUCAUUUCGUGCUAGCAUUACGAGAACUGAAUAUAUGUCGUUAUUGGAACAAUUUGUCUUGUAUUGGCUGAGAAAUCGAUGAGAAUUUUAUAGAAGUUAUCAAUUGCCGAUUGAGUCAACUUUGCACGAAGGUUUUGUAUGAUGGAGAAUCAAUUUUGUAUGUAAUGAAAUUGAUUGACACAAGCAAAAUGAUAAGAUCAACAUGUGCACCAAACAGAGAAAUGAAGUCAAUAUAAGUGAUGACAGUGUAUCGCAAACAAAGUCGUAAAAAAGUUACCGAGAAGGAGUCACAACAGUGGGAGCAUAAAAGUGGUCUUGGAUCUCGUGUGGCUCGUGUAGCAGCAAAAAGAAGAUCGAUGUCAGUUGUGCGGGGAUAUGUCAUAAUAAGCGUAGUUUAAGGAGAAAGAAGAUCAUUCAAAUGUGUAAAUCAUCUGUAGUUGAAAAUUAUAACGUUCAUGUGGAUAUUUGUAUAUUCUAUAUUUUGUGUAAAGUAUUUACUACAAAUAUCUUUUUUUUAUUUGAAAUUGGAUGUUAACUUAGUGAUUUGUGUUAACUAACUAAAUGUUUUCUCAAUUUUCAAUCUUUUAAAUAUUCUUUCAGGUACACACUUUUGUACUUACUAUAAGCAGGUUAAAUAGGAGCAAAGAUGCUUUGCACAGUGAUUAGAAGGCAAGUGACAUAUCAUUUAAAUAUACAUUUUCACUUUUAUUUAGAUUGCAAGUUGCUGACUUGUUUUUUUAUAUUUGAUCUUUGCAGGUGUUUUUGUGUUUGUUUUGUUAAAUUAUAAUUCCAUAGAAUAUUGUUAGCUAUGAUAUUUUUUGACUCAUGAAUGUAAACGUUUAAGAUUGUCGAUGAUUUUCAGGUUUUGUUAAUUAACUCAAUUUAAUAUAUAGGUUGAAAUACAAUCUGAAAGGUGAUAUUUUUUUCUAUUUAGAAUGGUUUGAAAUAGUUAAAGUGAUGAAACUUAUGAAGUUGUUUCUUUUUGGUGGGGGGGUGUUUGAGCAUGAAAGUUUACAUAAUUUUUUUAUCCAAUACUCAUGUAUAAGUUUGUUACUCUAAUUAUUACAUUAAUUUGUAUCGGUGCACAAAAAAAUUCGUUGGUUUUAAAAGUGUCGAAACCUAUAUUGAAGUUUAACAGUAUAAACAUAUAUUAUAAAAGGGUUAUUGCUAUAAUUUGCCCUUAUAUUACUUAAUCUGUUAAUAAUUUCUAAAAUUUUAUUUAUUUUAAUGUUAAUGUGUUAUGAUAGUCAAUUAAAUUUGAUUUUUUUAUAAAAUUAAAUUUAGUGUAUUAAAAUCAAUUGCAACAAUCUAGUUAAUUUGAAUUAACUGAAUUUUACUAAAUUCAGUGUAUUAAAAUUCAGAUUCUUUAUCCUUCUAAUGUAUGUGUGCGGAGUAAGUGAAAGGUAGUUAGAGCUGCAAAGUUCAGCCAAGAAGGAGAAAAAAAAUCAUGAAUGCAUGCACCAAAAGAAUAUUAGGAAGAGAGAGAGAAGGCGAGAGGGAGGCUUAGAGUGGAGGAAGAUUCGAAAGAGAGAGACAUGGGGAAUACCACCCCGGGGGGAGUCUGUGAUGAUGGUAUUGUGUAGUGCAGUAAUCGAAGUCAUGGAUUAAAAGUGAUGUGAGAGAAUAAUUUGCACAAUAUUUAUUCAAUUCAAGGACCAGUUAAAAAGUUUGCCAUUGCUGGAUAUUGGAUUAUAUUUUAGAUCUACGGGCCAAAAGACCUACGAAGCGCCUGUGUAAAUUGUUCACCAAUCACAUAUGUCAUUUGAUUGACUUGUAUAUAUGAGUUAUAGCUAAUACUAUUAUAGUUAGGAGAGGAGAGAUCCGAAGUAGUUGGAGAGAGACAUGAAUAGGCCGGACGUGCGCAGAGAGAUGGGAGAGAGGAGGCGUGGCGGCGGGGUGAAGGUGCGCCGUUGCGGGGCGUAGCGGAGCCCAACCCGGUGCGGCACGCGGGAGAGGAAGGCGACUGAGGUACUGUGACUUUCGGGCCGAAAUGAUGGAGUGAGGCGAUGGGACAGGGGCGUCGUCCAAACGGAACAUAAGGCAGAUGCAGGGGACUAUACGACUGCGAGAGAGAGGAGAGAGGUCGGUCAAUUACUAUCGAUAGUACCAAAGCCCUGUAUAUUGAGGUUUUCUAGCAUUUAGUUACCUGGAAUAUUUCCACCAUUAAGUUAUAUAUUUAACAACAUCACUCACCUAGGGGAUCAAUAUCAGUAACCGUGGACACUAUCAUCUAAUCGCACUUAAUCAAUCAAGGCGCAAAACUCAAUAGACAAGGACUUGGUAACUAUUGAUAGUGUAUCAGUUAAGCAUAAUUAUUAUAUUAUAUAAUAAUGUUAUAUAUAUAUAUAUAAUAGUAUAGUAGCUCUACUCUAUAUGAGUCCGGCUACUAUACUAUUAUGAGUACGAUCGCCCUCGUACUCAUAAGUUGUUUUCGAUGAUAGAGCUUCCGAAUCGACGAUCCACACCACUAAAUAUUAUCUAGAGUAUUUAAAACUUCUAGAAAUCAAAUUUCAUAAUUUUUCAACAUCAUUUACCUUACGAUCAAAAGCUUACAAAAUUGACAAUUUUUAACAGCCGGUAUGAGAUACUUGCUAGUUUAACGGUGUAAAAGAAUCAAAAUAGGUUGUAUUUUUGAUAGAAAAUUCUAUUCACUACCUAGAUAAAGAUCAAUAACUCCAAUCUUAAAUUAAAGAAUCUGAUCAUUCAUUUUUAGGACGUCGUUCGAUUUUGACCGUUCAUUUUAUGCUCGUUUGAUCGACUUUAUUAUGAUUUCGAAAAAUUACGAAAUUUAAUUUUUAGGGGUUUCAAAUACUCUAGAUCAUAUUUAACGGAGUGGAUCGUCGAUUCGGAAGCCCCAUCAUCGAAAACAACUUAUGAGUAUGAAUGACGCAAUACUCAUAACAGUAUAGUAGCUCUACUCUCUCUCUCUAUAUAUAUAUAUAUAAAGAGAAAGAGAGAGAGAGAGAGAGAGAGAGAGUGGGCUGGUAUGCUUCUGGAAGCGCGGAGCCCUCCGUGCUUCCAAGUUGUUUUUGAUGUUCAGACUUUCAAAUCGACGAUCGACUCCGUCAGAGUUGAUCUAGAGUAUUUGAAGUACCUAGAAAAUAAAUUUUGUAAUUUUUUGAUAUCAUUUGCCUAGUGAUCGAAGGGGCUCAAAAUCAAUAAUUUUAAUGGCCGUGGUGAGCCGUUUGCAAGUUUAACGGUCUAGAAAUAUCCAAAUUACAUGAAAUUUUGAUAGAAAAUUCUUUAUACCAUAUAAAACAAGAUCAAUAACUUUGAUCUAAAAUUUUAAUGUCAUAUCAUCAUAUUUUGUAAGAUUUUUAUUUUCAGCCGUUGAUUUUGAAUCACUUCGAUCACUAGGCAAAUGAUAUCGAAAAAUCGCAAAAUUUAUUUUCUAGAUAUUUCAAAUACUCUAGAUCAAGUUUAAUGGAGCCGAUCGUCGAUUCAAAAGUCCGAACAUUAAAAACAACUUGGAAGCACAGAACGCUCCGUGCUUUUAGAAGCAUAUCAGACGCACUAUAUAUAUAUAUAUAUAUAUAUAUAUAUAUAUAUAUAUAUAUAUAGUCCGGCUAUGGUACUUGUACAAGUACCAAGCACUUUGUGCUUGUGAAUUUUUUAUCGUUAGAUCUACGCCUUUGAUCAUUUUCACCUGUUAGAUUAUACUAUUCAACUAACCACCCACUCAAUUCAAGAGGGUCUACAUCAUCCUAACCGCACAUUUAUUAAUCCAAGGGCUAAAAACUUAUAAGCACAAAUGACUUGGUACUUUUAAAAGCAUAGGAGCUCAAUUCUAUAUAUAUAUAUAUAUAUACUUUUUCUUUUGAUGUUCUUCCUCCUUGCAUAUAAGAAUCUAUUGUCUAUUAUAUACAUCUUUCCAUUGCAUUGAGGGCGCAUUCGUCCCCACCAUCCUGUGAAUAUAAUUAAGAAUUUUGUUUUUUUUUUUUUCGGAUUUUAACAUUUUGUUCAUUCCGUACGUAAUUUUAUCAGUAAUGUAAAUUACCAAUACCGCAUAAUUAAUAUAAAAAUAUUAUAGAAUUUUAUUCUAAAAUUUUUAGGGUUAAAGUUCUGUACUUAUCAUAGCUUUUGGUUGGAAAAUUAGGGGGAUAAGGGGUUAUCCACCGUUAUCUCCAAAGGAGAUUAUUUGAGGGUGGGGAUUGCUAACCCACCUCUGGAAUAGGAGCGGAAAUAGUUGUUCUCACUCUUAUUUAAUUUUAAAAAAAAUUUAAAUUUAAAUUUAAAUUUUAAAGUUUAUAAUUUUAAAAUUUUAAAUUUUAAAUUGAUAUUUUAAUUUUUUAAAUUAAAAUUUUGAUAUUUUAGAUUUUUAAAUUUAGAUUUAAUCUUAAAUUUAAAAUUUAAAAUUCAAAGCUUUGAAUUUUUGAAUUUGAGAUUUAAAAAAUUAAAUUUAAAUUUUAAAUUUAUAAAAAUUAAAAGUUAUAUAUUUAAAUUUUAAAUUUUAAAUUUAAAUAUAAUAUAUGAGACAAUAUCAUUAUUUUCUAUUUAUAACUACCUACUAUUCUUCUUAUUCUAAUCUUAUCUAUUUUUUUUUAUAUUCGGCAACAACACAAUUUUUAUUCAAAUAUAAAAUUGAUUUAUUCUAUGCUUAUAUCUGAACUUAUAUCUAUUCCUGAAAUAGAUAAUUCUUUGUUUAUAUCCAAGCCUACCGAAGUCUAAAAGUGUGAAUAGGACAUUCAAACAUGAUAUUGUAAACAAUUGGCACAAAAUGCUAAAAUAUUCUAUUUCUUUCCAAUACUAUUGUUUUUACAGCACUCCUAAACACGGUCUUAUUAUUGUAAUUUGUGUACUAAAAAGGAUCACGACUUCUUGUUGGUUGAUAUCAUUCUCUUUUGGGUUUUUAAGCUAAGGUAGCGUUUGGUUCGGGAACAAGAUUGAGAAUAAGUCCUUGUUUCCUUUUUUGUUCCCAAACAGUGCGUUAGAUACUCGAGAACAGUAAUUUUCGAAUUUUUGAAAUAAAUCGGUAUAAGGCUAGAACUGUUGUUCUAUCUUUUUCCUGAAACAAGCUUGUUCCCAGGUGAGAAUAAGAUUAAUUAAAGUCUAAAAAUAAUUUUAAUUAUGAUAUUAAAUAAUUAAUUAAUUUAAUUAAUAUAUUUAAAACAUUAUUUAUUGCUUAAAUAAUAAACAAUAAAAUAAUUUAUUUAUUAAUUUAUAAUUAACUAAUUUAUUAAUUUAUAAUUUAUAAUUAGUAAUAAUUUAUUAUUUAUAAUUUAUUAUUUAAUAAUUUUUAAUUUAUAAUUAUUUACAAUUUAUUAUUUAUUUUAUAAUUAUUAGUUUAUUAGUUUAUUAUUAUAAUUAAUUUAUUAUUUAUAAUUAUUAUUAGUUUAUUAUUUACACUAUAUUAUCUAAUUAAUUUAUUAUUAAUAAAUUAUUAUUAAUUAAUAAUUUAUUAUUUAUAAUUAUUUAUUAUUAAUUAAAUAAUUAAUUAUUAAUUAAUUUAUAAUUUAAAAAUAUUAAUAAUUUUUAAUUUAUAAUUUAUUAUCUAAUUAAUUUCUUAUUAAUUAAUUUAUAAUUUAUAUAAUUUAUAAUUAUUUAUUAUUUAAUUAAUUUAUUAUUUAUAAUUAUUAAUAUUAAUUUAUUUUUUACGUAAUAUUUUGAUGUUAAUUAAUUAGAUAAAAUAAUUUUAAUUUAAAAUUAUAACUCUUAUUCGCUUUGUGCCAAUCUAACCAUCCAAACACUAUUUAUCUUAUUUAUACAAACAACCCAAGUUUAAUCUAAACAUAAAAUUGGUCUAGUUUCUACUUAUACCUGAGCUUGUAUCUAUCCCUGGAAUAAACAGUUCUUAUUUAUACCCGAACGAAACGCAGCCUAAGAGUUUAAAACUCGCUAUAUACAGGAAAAAAAAUUAAAAUAUGUGUUGGUGUGCUUCACACAACAAAGAAAACAAAAAUAUUCAUUCUUUUUUUAGGGUGCGUUUGGUUCGAGUUAUCCUGACAGGAUUACAGGCAAUCCUGCCAGGAUAACUGUAUUUGGUCAAUCCGCUAUGUAAUUUAGUCGUUAAUGUAGCAUUACAAAUUGAGCAGGAUUACAUUAAAAAUAUUAACGAGAGGGGGUCGUGUAUCUUGCAUUACUAAAACCCGUUAAUACUACAUAUUAUGUAAAGUGAAAAUUUUACCCUCCAACAAUCUCAAAUCUAAUUAACAGCAUUAUUUUCAUCUCUCUCUCGCCUUCCCCCGGCCCUCUCUCUUGCACGCCUCUUUCUCUCGCUCUCUCUCGACGUCUCUCUCUCUCUCUCUCUCUCUCUCUCUCUCGCACGAACACUUAUCAUCUUCUAUUGCGUCGUCCUCCCAAGUAAUCAUCAUGAUCUCCUUCCCUUCAUUCGUCAUUUUCGCAAAAAAUAAUAUUCAAAUGACCACAACAAAGGUAAUUUUUAAAAAAACUAUACUUUUAUGUCAGGAUUACUAAAUUUUAUAAACUGAACGAAACAUAUUAAUGCUAUAAACAUUGUAAUCUAGUAUUACAUUACUGUAUUAAACCAAACGCACUAAUGCAGCAUCAGUAAUAAUCUCACGCCGAAAUCCAAAAUAUCUGGAUAUGUCGAGAUACUCUGUAAUAUUACAUAACUCGAACCAAAUGGGCCCUUAUAGUAAUUUGUAUAGUAAAAGCAACAAUCGCUGCUCAGGCCGAGUUGAUUACCGCCCUUCUUCUAGAGUGUUAAAUUCAGAGUUUGAAUUCUGCCAUAUACGAAAAACAACAUGAGCGCAACUAAUUAAUAACAACAUCAGCGCAACUAAUUAAUAUCUUAACAUAAAAAAGGUAAAUUAACAAAACUAUUCCUCCCUUCCUCAAAAUAAGCUGCCUAGAGGGAUGUGCUAAUGUGGCUUUAUUGUUAUCUUAACAAAAAUAAAAAAAAUGCAAAUAGACAAAAAAAUAAUAGUUUUUUUUUUUUUUUUUUUUUUUUUUNAGACAGGAGAAACCGAGAGAGGGGGCGAUGUGCAAAAGGAUCCCGGCCGUUAUAAUGCUGAUGAUGAUGAUGCAGUCGAAGUUAACAGCAACGUCUCUGAGGCUUUGAGCUCGCCGGUGGGUCGCGGUAUUCUCUCUCUCUCUCUGACACAGCCGAGGUUUUCGAUUCACACCCCUUCCUUAUUCUCUCACUUGUGGACCCCACCGCCAAAAUGAACGGCGGUGAUCGUCUCCUCCCAUCUCCGCCGCCUCUCUCCUCCCCUCUAUAAAUACCUCCCCUCAUUCCCCCCGCCUCAUUCUCCGAUCCCCCUCUCUCUCUCUCUCUCUCUCUCUCUCUCUUCGGCGUGGUCGGAAGCGGGAGGAGGGGUUUGGGUUCGCGGAGAGAGGGGGGAGGGGCGGGGGAACCCUAACCCUAGUGGAGUUGCGUGCGACGGAAUUUUAGGGUUUCGGCGCGCGCGUUUGGGUCGGGAUUGGGAGCUCGGAGGCGUGAGCGAAGAUGAGUAGCCUCGUGGAGCGGCUCCGGGUGAGAUCGGAGAAUAAGCCGCGGUACAAUAUAGAUGAUUCGGACGACGAUCUCUUCGUUCCCCUCGCGACGUCGAAGAGGAAGCAGGAAGAGAAGCCCCCCGAGAAGAUCGUGAGGGAUGAUGCGGUAUGAUGUUCUUUCGCGGCUUUUCUUGUUGUUUUCAUGCUAAGUAGGUUUCGUUGCUUUGGUUCUCGAUUGGUAUUUUUCACAUGUCGGUAGCGGGAAAUUGCGAAAUUAGGAUGAACAUGUGCUUUCUUCUUCGUGGGAUUGUAAUUAAGUGUGUGGAAUUUGAGCCAUUUUCUUCUUUUGUGUCUAAAUGUUGUAAGAAAUAUGUGAAUUAAUUGCAAGAAACCUAAGAAUUUGAACAAAUCGGUUCUUUCUUGCUGUUUUUAAUGCAAAUUGGGUUAUUGCUUUGGUUCUUGAUGGUUCUUUAAAGUUGUGGGAAUUGAGAGGGUAAGUUCACCAUCAAUCUUGCCACUUCUUGGGACUAUUUUAGUGUGUAGGUUUGAACCAUUUUCAGUUUCGGUAGUGUCAGAAAAAUGUGAAUUAAUUGCAAGAAAACUUCAAAUUCCAGCUGCAUCAUAGAACAUUUUAUGUAGGAUCGUUCAAAAUGUUAGAUUACAGUACUUGCCAUUUUUCCUGAUUUUGAAUUAGAUGUCUACAAAGAAUGUAGUCCCAACUAAUUAAUGGAAAAGAUGAUAGAGCAUUUCUCGUUGGCAACUUUAAGCGUUUUGGGUGUCGUUAUAUAAGAUUGUUUAGGUACAUAAACUAUAUGACAUUUAACUUUUGAAUUGUUAACCUAAAGUUUUGGUGCUUCGUUAAAAGAUAAUUACUUCGGCCAGCAGGAAGCAACUUUGACAUUCUCUCUGUUGGAAAGUUUGGAAGGUCACCAAAAACCACCAAUGCAAGUGGGCAUUCUGAAUGGCCUACCAUAAAAAAAAAAGUGGAGAGAAAACCUAAAAUUUAUGAUAUUCCUUAUUUGAAAAAAAUGUCUUAAGAAUGUGCCAUGUGCCAAACUUCUGAUGUUAAUGAAUACGAGGGAAACUGGAGCUGGUCUAUUCUUAUUAAUUUUGUAACAUUUUAGAUGAUUUCCCUAAUCACGAGUAAUCUUUAAGAACUGUUUCUUUGCGCAAUAUAUACAUUAAAUGAUAAAUGUUCUUCAAUUUUCUUGAAGACUCGUAGUCUCGAAAUAGUGCUUCCUAUACAUUUGAUUUGUUAUUAUGAUUGUCCAUUUUAAGUUUAAACAUUCGUAUUUUAGGCUAAAUUGUUUUCUGAGUACAAACCCAAAAAAAUGUCAAAUCAUAUGAGACGAGCUUAAAGAUGCUGAGUUAUAGCCCCAUUUUUGAAGCAGAGGCGAUAUCAACAGUAAGGCUGACUGGUUUUUUUUAUUACAACUCAAAGAUAGGAGGGAUAGUCAGUUGCUGGCUAGUUUUUUGAGUAAAACUCAAAGUUAGGAGGGAUAAUCAAUUGAGAGUCUUACACUCUUACUGUAAUGGCUUGACUUUGAUUUUCUUUAUUCGACCUGCAAAAUCAGUCAAUGGGUUUACAGAAUAUUAUAUUUCUGUUUGUAAGAUUUGUUGUUUGGCUUUAAUGGAUUUUCUUCUUUAACAUUUGAAACCUUGGCGUUUUUGUGUGUUUAAAUUGUCAGUUCAAGCUCUUAUAUUUGAUUUUUAGUUUAUUGCUCGUUGUUACUCUUUUUUUUAGCCCCUUUUUGAAAGUUCUGCCUGACUGGUCUUUGGAACUAAUGGCUGAGAGAAAUGGGCCUAUUUUCAUCAGAACUUCCAUUGAAAUAUAUAUGUUGGCUUGACUGGAUGUUAAGAAACCUGCCUAAGGAUGGAUUCAUCAUAAAUCAAAGUUCUGAUCUUCUGUCUUACGCCUGUUUCAUUUCAUGUUUUCUAUCUUUUCGCUUCAGAAAUGUGAAAAUAAAUUUAAUAGAAACUUACUCAGUUCUGAUGGCUGGCGGUUAGCUUUGAGAUGUCUUGGAAGUUGAAAUUGUUUAGAGUAAAAUGGUGGUUCUUGUUGUUAACAUUUCUUGCAUAUUGUUUAUUUUUCUGAAUUUGAGCUUUCGUUAUUUGCAGAAAGAAGAUGCAUGCCAACUCUGUGGAGAAAAAAAUGACAAUCUAAUUUCCUGUGGAACAUGUACAUAUGUUUUCCACCGGAAAUGCUUGGUUCCGCGUUUGAAAAUAACACCUGAUGACAAAUGGAGCUGCCCUGAAUGUGUAUGUUUUUGCAAAACUCGUCUCCUUCACAGAUUUUUAGAUCGCUGUAGUUAAUAUUUGUAAUAUUGAAUGUGUGAAAUUUUCAGGUGAGCCCGCUGACUGAAGUUGAGAAGAUAUUAGAUUGUGAAAUGCGCCCUGUUGUAAAGGAUGGGAUUGAUUCUUCACAGCCUGGUUCAAAACAAGCUUAUGUGAAGCAAUAUCUUGUGAAGUGGAAAGGACUUUCAUACCUUCACUGCACAUGGUAGCUCUCGAGCUAACCAUUUAUUUCCUACUUAUUUUCUGUAACUCAAAGUUUCUGCUUUAAUCUAAAUAACAUGCAAGCGGCCUUUGUAAAAUUCGUAUGUUCUAUCUUUCUAUUUGGCAUGCUCACAUUUGUUGCCACUCAUUUUUUUAGGGUUACAGAGAACGAGUUCUUGAAAGCUUCCAAGGCUCAUCCACGAUUAAAGACUAGAUUAAACAAUUUCCAUAGGCAAAUGGAUUCCAUGGAUAAGUCAGACGAUGACUGGGUUGCAAUUCGACCUGAAUGGACUACCGUUGACAGAAUUAUCGCUAGCAGGUCUAGAAAUUUAAUAUUCACCAUGUUUAUAAUUGUCCACAUACUUUUGUAGACAAUUUUUUUGUUGUUGAACUGCUAUGUAUACUGAAACAGUUUUGUCACAUUCAAUUUAACACUGACUAGCAGGUAUUUCGUAGAAAUUUGUAAAAAUUAAAGAUCAUCUUGUAAAUAGAACAUCAUUUGGCUUCUAUCAUGUUCAAUUUAGACGUAUAAUAAGCAAUUAGAAUACACUGGUGCCAAAAAAAAUAAAUGUUUCAUGCUAUAGUGUGUUGGCGGCUCGGCACAUAGGUAGUUUUGUAAACGGCAAGCUUCGGCAUGCCACGGCACACUCCGUGCUGUAUUGUUCCGGCAAAUGCUCCGUGCAACCCAGUGCCCAGGCACUUAAAUCCUUGUGCAUAUGCGACGCCUGUAUGACUCUAGCGAUGCCUGUAUGAACCCCAUCUAUUUACUCCCUUAAUUAAUGAUUUGUAGCAUAACGGACAUCAACAUAAAAAAUAAAUUAUCCUGGUUAUAUCAUACAUAAAUAGUAAUCUGGUGUAGAAGUUCCUUUUCAUGUUGUCACUUCUUUUCUUUUCUUCCUUUUUCUUUCUUCACUUUAAGUGCAUUGUCUUUAAUUCCAGCUAAAAGAAAGAACCUUUUCAAGUGGCAAUAUUAGAUCGUACUUUGAAUCAUAAUUCGAUGUCUGACAAUUUAACCUUCAUCGGGCCUUCACUGAUGCUAGAUGGCUGGAUUUCUUUGUUUCAAAGGCAUAAUUAUGCAAUACUGUGUCUUAUGUUGUUUCUGAGUAUGACGAAGAGUUUCCAACAGAAAAGCUGGUGAUGAGCGUGAGUACCUUGUGAAAUGGAAAGAGCUUCCGUAUGAUGAAUGUACCUGGGAAGUUGAGUCAGACAUAUCUGCCUUUCAAUCUCAGAUUGAAAGAUUCAACAUGAUUCAGUCGAGACGUCAUAAAAAACCUCCUAUUAAGAGUAAGAAUGGUAAUCGUGAUACACUUUCCUAUGAGCAGAGCCCUGAAUUUCUCUCUGGCGGUAUGUUUAUUUCCUGAUAUGAUUUUUCUCACUUUCCUCUUCCAAUUAUGUAUAGGUAUUGUAACACAAAUGCUUAUUUUGCCUUUUUGAUUAUUGAAGGGUCAUUACAUCCCUAUCAGCUUGAAGGAUUGAAGUUUUUGCGCUAUUCAUGGCUAAAAGAUAAUCGGGUUAUCCUUGCAGAUGAGAUGGGUCUAGGUAAGGAUAUCUAUUCUUCAACCAAAAUUUCUUUUUAUUUGUCAUCAUUUUUGGAGGUUUCUAACUUAGAGGCGUACUGAUAUUUUUUCGCAGGAAAAACAAUACAAAGUAUUGCUUUUCUGGCUUCUCUGUUUGAAGAGAAUGUAACUCCUCAUUUGGUAGUGGCCCCUUUAUCAACGCUGCGCAACUGGGAGCGUGAGUUUGCAACAUGGGCACCUCAGAUGAAUGUUGUGCGUGUUUAAGUUCCAACUUUUUAAUGAAAAGAAUCUUUCAUCCGAAGUCUUAAGAAAAUAUUCUCAGUUUGAAUUUUUCAUGUGAAAUCUUAAUCCCUUUUUUUUUUGUGUGUGGUAGGUAAUGUAUUUUGGAACUGCCCAGGCUCGUGAGGCCAUUAGAAAAUAUGAAUUUUACUUCCCCAAAGAAAAAUCUCAUAAAUUUAAAAAAAAGAAAACUGUUCAAGGAAGCAGUCAGAAGAAACAAUCGAGAAUAAAGUUUGAUGUUCUUUUAACUUCAUAUGAGAUGAUUAACAUGGACUCGGCAGUUUUGAAGCCUAUUCGGUGGGAAUGCCUGGUAUUUUCUUCUAUCUUACUAGUUAAUUAUCAUUGAAAUUCUUCCACUCAUUUUAGUUGUCUUUACUGACAUUACUGUGUGAACACAGAUUGUCGAUGAGGGUCACAGGCUGAAAAAUAAAGAUUCUAAAUUAUUUAGUCAAUUGAGAGAUUAUUCUACUAACCACCGUGUGCUUUUAACUGGAACGCCUCUACAGGUUUAUAACUGUUCUCGCCUCGUUUCUUGGAUAUUUACCUAAUUUUUUUAAUCUUUGUUCUCUAGCGUUUGCUAUUUUGCGAAGAAACAUAUAUGAUUAAAGUUGAUUGAUUAAUGCACUGUAUUUCUUGAAGAUUUUUAGUUGCUUUAGCUUCCUACAGUGAUGUUCCUAAUCUAUAAAUAUGGAACGGAUACAAAUUGAAAUAUUCACAGAUACUAUUGAUAUCUUCUGAUUACUGAGAUUGAUGUUCUGGGCAUGUAGAAUCGGUUUUUCACAGAUAUCGUUCAGUCAAUAAAAAUUGUAUCUAUUAUUUUGCUGUUAACUUUAACAUACUACAGGACAGUGCUCUUUGUGGCAUUAGUCUAUUACUUUUUCUUUUUUUUUUAUAAAACCCGGGUAUUCUCUUGUUAAGGGUUCUUUUUGUAGGUCAUUACCUGAAACAUUGUCAUCAUGAGCAACUUAUUGUCUGAAAAAAUGUACAUUUUCACAAUUGAAGUUGCUUCAUAUACACAAUCGAGUGUUGUUCCGCUCUUAUUAAGAGCAUGUACUUUAUGAGAGUGAAUUCAAAUUGAAUACUAGCUCUUGCAUGAAAUGGAUAAAACUUUAAACUGCUGAGAACAAGCCAAUAGGUAAGUAUUCUUAGCCAUAUCAGUUAUCCCACCUUACAAGUCUAGCAAGGGUAUCUUAUGCCUACAUUACCUCUUAAUUACUAGUUCUGUAGACUGAUGUAACUUUUGAUUCCUCUGCCUUCAAUAGAGCCUCCUUAGUAUGAUUGCUGUGAUGAUGACUAGAACAUUAAACUUCAAGCAAGUUUUGGGUGCAAUUGGCAACCGUCUCUUUUCUUACCCUUUGCUUAUAUUGUAACUUGUUAGAGUACUGAAGCCGGAGCAAAAAAGAAAAAAGUCUACCGACAUUUAGUUUACUUUUGCUUUCAUCCAAUGCUGUUUUGUUUCCAAAAAGUUGGAACUUUCUGAGGGCAAAAAGGAGCCUGAUAUCAUUUGUUUACACAGCAUACUUGGUUGUCAUAGGAAAAUUGAAUUUGCAACAAAAUUGAACGCUUAUUAAAAAAUAACCUAGAAUUGAAUUACAGAAAAAACCAUAACUUCUGGGCAAAACUCGAGCCACAACCCUGACAAAGGUGAUGUCAAAUGCACUUCUCAUUUUGCGUCUUAAAUACCACUAAAUACUCUCUAGAUUUGGGCUAAUUAAACUUUUCAACUAGAAUUGUGCAUUGCACUUUACCCUUUGCAAUUAACAUUUCAAAGACUUUGCAUAAGAUGAUGGAGGGUGACGCUUUAUUAACUCUCUGGUAUCAGUACUCCUUCCUAAUAAUGUGUCGUCUGUUGGAAGCCAGAGUGCUUUGUAAUGACAGCUUGUUUUGUAAGCUUCCCUUUUGUUGCCAUCCUUCUAAAGAUUGAUAAUUCCUUACAGAUAAUGUUCAUUCUAAUAUAAAGGUUAUGAUGAAUAUGCUUUUAAUUUUGCAGAACAACCUGGAUGAGCUAUUCAUGCUUAUGCACUUCCUUGAUGAUAAGAGUGUAAGUUAUGCAGCUCAUGAUAACUUUCUCAUCUUAUGUUUAUUGGUGCACCAUGGAUGGCAUCGUAUAGUGGGAUAACAACCUCAAUUUGCAUGCACAAAGUUCCUUUUUCUUCCUGUUGUAGUUAUAAAAGUGCAAGGUUAGCGUUAAUCUUUAAUCUUUUGUUUUCAACAUGCUUCAGUGACAGACUAUCAUCCAAAGGUUCUGUUUCUUGAAUUUCAUGGAUGAGUUAUAUGUUCUAUUAACUUUCUGAGCUUUUUCAUAUUACCUAGUUAUAUUAACAGGUUAUUAGCAGGAUUGGUAGGUUUCCAGAGGCAAAGAGCUUUAUAAAUCUAAUUGGUGGCAUCCCCACAGGAUGUCAUUAUUUUUUAAAAUAUUCAAAUUGAAGAUAACAUUGCAAGUGAAAUCACUUAUUUAAGUUGCUUGUUUGAGAUAUGUUGUAAUCAAGCUUUAAUUAGUGCAAACAAUUAUCUGAUAUUGCAGUUUUGAUAGAUUUAGCAGCUUAUCAACAUCAUAUUUGUUUUUCUUAUGUGUGGUUCUUCUUUUCUAGUUUGGGAGCAUAGAGCACCUUAAGCAGGAAUUCACGGAUAUAAAUCAAGAUAAGCAAAUUGAAAAGCUUCAUGAUAUGCUUAUGCCACACCUUCUUCGAAGUAUGCUCCUUUAUUUUCUUAAUUUAAAAUGAUGCUCGUAUUCAUUCUAGUAUUCCAUUGGUGUUACCAAGUCUAUAAGUAAGCUCCACGUUUUGUGUUAUAAAUUCAAAGAUAGUUUUUAUUGCGCAUUUCAAUAUUUUUUAAUGAUGGCUUAUCAUUUAGAUAACGGCUCAAGGAGACAUGGACUACUAUUAGGUGAACGCAAGUCUGUGCUAUAUUAUUGAUUCAUUAAUAUAUGUGGUGAUUAUAUUUGAGGUAUAAACUAAUAGCACUGUCUGAUAUUUAACUAUUUUUGAAUUCAAAUGGGUUGGCAUCCGUGAAGCAGUCAAUUGACACAUACUUCUGACGGUAGCAUACUGAAAGGCAUAAAUUGAACUACUAACAUAGGGUUCAGGCUAUGGUUACAUUUGGCAUCAUAAAUCAAGUACUUUAGAUGUUGGAAGGCUAUUUUUUGUAGAUCAGAAACAUUUUGCACAAUGCAAUACAUGAUGCUUUUAUCUAAUCUAAAUAAACAAAUCAUGCUAAUGCAUGAUCCUUUUAUCUAAUCUAAAUAAGCUAAUCAUGCCCAUUCAAACAUUCAUAGAUUCAUCCAUCUCGGGUUCUUAGAUUUUUAAGACUCUAGUGAGAAAUUAUAGGAGAAAAGGCAAGGAUAUGAGAUUUAUCAGAUAAAGAGAGAUGGGUAGAACAAGGAUGGACUUGAAACAAUGGAAUAGGGAGCAAGAAGGGAGCAAGAAUGUUACCAGCUUUUUGUGAUCUAUACAUUAUUUACUUUGGUCAUCAUGUCAUCAUUGAAUAUAUGCUAUGUACGAUGUACAAGGCAUUUAUGUUUGUCUGAAGGAUGAAUAUGUUAGACAUGCUAGAUUUAUUUAUCUAGACUCAGUUUAAAUACUCGUUGAGAGAGAGAGAGAGAGAGCUCUUCCUUUGAGGUUUCGUCGGAGAGAGAAGAUGGUCGCUUGUUGUUUUCCUUGAUUGGGAAGAGAGGGGGGUGAAAAAAAAUGUGGGAGAGAGGGAGCUUACUACUAGUGAGAGGAAGGUGGGAGAGAGAGGUGGAAGAAAAGGAGGUGGGAGAGAGGGAGUUUACUGUUGAGGAUGGGGAGGAGAGAGAAGCGGUAGGAGAGUGGAGUAAAAAAUAUAAUAAUAAAUAGAUUAGGAUGGGGGGAAAUAUAUGAAUUGUUUAGGUAUUGUGGAUUAUUUUGCUCAAUUUUUAAACGGGUGAAAUUGAUUGUGCAGGAAUUAGUUUUUGAGAAACAGCUUUGAGCUUCUUCUAAUUCUGGGGGACCUAAAAAUCAGAAUUCUGAUUUUGAAAAUUAGAAUUAGAUUUUACAACACCUGCUACCUGAAAGCUCUAUUAAACCAAAAAUCUCUUUUGGCCCCAAAAUCACUUUUCAAAAGCUAGGCCAAACACCCUCUGUAUGACAUUCUGUAAUGAAGACUUUAUGUCCAUACCUUUUCUUGAAUUACUGUGUUUUGCCUAUCCUUUUUUAUACUACCCAGAGAAGCCUAAGAGUUCAAGUCUAACUUUAUAAGAUACGGUCCACAGACUUUAUCUAGAAUGCCGAGUAAUAGGAAAGUUGACGAUUGAAUGAAUAGGUUGUUAGUGGAAAAAUGGUGAAUUAUUCAUUGAGAAAUGUUCUUCAUGAAUUAGUCAAUUCUGUUCCAUUUUUUGUUGUUUCUGUUUUCUUUGAGUGAGGCAUUUGGCUUUUCCCCUCAGCGACAAAGUGGCAAGUGAUUUAUCAUUUCUAAAUAAAACAAGUGAACUUUCACAGGAUUCAAGAAGGAUGUAAUAAAAGAUCUACCUCCGAAAAAGGAACUAAUUUUACGGGUGGAACUAAGCAGCAAGCAGAAAGAAUAUUACAAGGCUAUUCUUACUCGAAAUUACCAAAUACUAGCUCGUCGUGGUGGUGCUCAGGUAGGAUUUUGCUGUUAAAGCCAAACAUAUAUUUUCAUGCAAUUUGUGCAGGUAACAUCUAUACUUUCUUCUAUCUAGAUAUCCCUUAUCAAUGUUGUCAUGGAACUUCGCAAACUUUGUUGUCAUGCAUACAUGUUAGAAGGUGUUGAACCUGUUAAAGAGCCGGCCAAUGCUGAUGAAGGUUUAAGGUAUAUAUGCUUAUUGCCCUUUGCUUUAGCAGCUCAAAUUUGGCUUCUUUUCUCAUGUGGUGAUAUGAAAUGUGAUGCAUGCAUGAUAAAAGAACAAUUUAAAAGAAAUUAAGGAGCAGUUUCUACAUAUAGUUUUGCUGCCAUGAAACUUUAUCCUUGCACUAUUUGGAGGUCUUACCUAUCCUCUAGGUCUUACCUUUGAGGCUGGGUUGUUUGAUUGCUUAUAUUAGUACAAAUGUUUUGCAUGAUGUAGUUAACCUUGGGUUGUUCGAUUCUACAUCGCUUGCUCUUAUUAGACCAGAAUUAUCAGAUUAUGUAAAGGGAUGUGUGGGUAUGUGUGCUAUCUACUAUUAACUUGAGCAAUGCAAAGUGUUCUUUGAAACUAUCUUGGCGCCUUUAGCCUGCAAGACACCUCGCUGUCCAUGCUUGCAGCACUAAAACUUCUGCUUGCUCACUCUGAUGGUUCUAUAGGAGGUUGCGUUUGCCUAAAUGACUAUAUCAUAUCUCAAUGCACAAGUUCCAAUACUUUGAAAUACAUAAUGUAUCAAUUGCAUGUAACUUGUUUUCAUAGGCAUCUUCAAGAUGCCAUCUUUUUAAUCAGGAGACUAGAUUUCCAGUAGGUUUAAACUAUGUUAUGUUAUUUUCUAUUUUCUCCUCUUUUGAUUUUUCAGACAACUUCUAGAAACUUCUGGAAAAAUGCACCUGUUGGAUAAAAUGAUGGUAAAGCUAAAAGAGCAGGGACACAGAGUUCUAAUUUAUUCACAGUUUCAGCACAUGUUGGACUUACUUGAAGAUUACUUGAGUUACAAGGUAUAAGCCAGUAUCUUCUAUAUUAAUCUAUCUGACAAGCUAUUAGGCCCAAGUGACAUACUAAAUUUACAUAUGGUAUAAUUGUUUAAUGGAACCUAUAUACAAGAAAUGGAGCUAUGAGAGAAUUGAUGGCAAGAUUGGUGGCGCUGAAAGACAGAUACGCAUAGACCGAUUCAAUGCGAAGAACUCCACUAGGUUUUGCUUUCUUCUUUCUACCAGAGCUGGAGGACUGGGAAUUAAUCUGGCAACUGCUGAUACUGUUAUUAUCUAUGAUAGGUAAGAUCUAUCUGUUUUCCUGGUUUUAGAGAGCUUAAUUGUCCAUAUAGAAUGCUUUUAUUUGACUCUUGUUCGUAACCUAUUUUCUUGACAUCCAUGCUUUUCAGUGAUUGGAAUCCUCAUGCGGAUUUACAAGCAAUGGCUAGGGCUCAUCGGUUAGGGCAAACCAGCAAGGUUUGGAUUGGCACUUAUUGCAAUGGUUCUUAGUUAUGUCUGCUUACUAUUGGUGCUGUGUGAAAAUAUGUUUAACUUCUGCUGGCCUUUUGGCUAGUAAGAGUUAAGCUUUAAACUUUGAAGUCUCUUUAGAUUUGACAUUUUCUCUGCAGGUUAUGAUAUAUAGGCUUAUAACUCGAGGAACCAUUGAAGAACGGAUGAUGCAGUUGACUAAGAAGAAGAUGAUAUUAGAGCAUCUUGUCGUUGGCCGGCUUAAGGCGCAGGGAGUCAAUCAGGUAUUUUCUCCAAGCUCUUUGCUAGAUGGUCAAAAGUCAGUGUACAUAAUAAGCUUGUUGCUGCUUCUUUCAUGCACACUUAUUGAGGUUUUGAAUGGCAUUGCAAUUGCGAUGUAGAUUGAGGCCUUUAAGGGGUUUGACACUGUAGUUAAGAUCUAUGGAUGUCCUCAUAGUUGAAAUUAAUUCCUUGCUCUGUAGUGAGAAUUCGAUAGAUUUUGAAGUAAAGCAAAAGAAUGAAAUCUGUUUUUUUUAUAGUCUGAAAAUAUUUUCUUUGAAGCAGAUAUAAUUUUGUACACAUAUAAGGGGAGAAAUUUUGCCAAAUUAUCAUCUGCUUAGAAACUUGUUGACCAUUUUGUGAAUCGUUCUGGCAGAUCGUCAUUUUGGAAAAUUUAUCUUCUCUUGAUUUAUCUUGGUGCUGGAUACUAAGAUGUCACCUUUGUAGACCUUAUUUUUCCUGAAGUUUUGUAAACUAGUGCUUCUGUUUUGCAAGAUUAUAGAAUAGCACAUCAUUGUGGUGUCUUGCAUGGAAUUCAAUAAUCUUGAGUAUUGACGAACAACAUGCUAAUCAGCAUCUUACAUGUCAUAUCUCUAUGUUUAAACUUCUGAGGAAAUAGUGUAUUUGUUUAGAAGAAAAAGUUAUGAUGCAUGAAAAGACAGUUAUAAGGCUCAUUUUUCAUUUAUAGAUAUGCCUCGAGCCUACUUAUUUAUAAAAUGUGAACAGCAACAGUGCACUUAUCACUAUUUUUUGCUCAAGAUAAACAGUAAGAAAGCUUAAGAAAAAUUACGCAUAAUGCAUAAUCUCUUCUUGUUCUUUCUAAAUGUUCAUUUUUGUCUUGAAAAGCGAAUAAUAAUGGCAAAGAGGAUCUUUUCGUGCCUUCAUUAUGCUAUAGGAGGAGUUAGAUGAUAUCAUACGAUACGGAUCAAAGGAGUUAUUUGCUGAUGAGAAUGAUGAAGCUGGAAAAGCUCGCCAAAUUCAUUAUGAUGAUGCUGCAAUCGAUAGGUUCUAUUUCUUUUACUAAUGUUAUUGACAUCAGUCUGGAAACUGAUAUGGUACUUUUGGAUCUCUUUCUUAUGCAUUAUUAACUUUGUAGGUUACUUGAUCGUGACCAAAUAGAUGAUGAAGAGACUUUAGAUGAUGAAGAGGAGAGUGACUUUUUAAAAGGCUUCAAGGUAUUGUUUUAAUUUGUACGUUUAACUGUAGCUAUCCUUUGAGGCAGGUUGUUUUACAAAGGAAAAUAGGAAUCUUCUCAAUGGAUGAAAGUCAAAGUUUAAUAGUUGGGAAUGUUGCUUCUUGAGGAAUAUACAUGUAACGAUUAAGGAAUAAGUAUGUUGUUUAAGAUAUGAACAAUUCAUAUUCAUAUUAAUAUUCACUUUAUUUAAUAUAUGGCCAAGAAUAAUCAAAUUCAAUAGUCUUAUUGAUGGUAUUGGAAUUUUAUUUUAUUUUCUCCCCUGCUGGGCAAGAUGAUUUGAAAGCAACAUCCUCGGUUAUGUUGCCAUCUAAAAUCUAGAUGCCUCCGAGGUGAUUGUGUGUGUGUGUGUGUGUGUGUGUGUGUGUUUCUUUAAAGUAAAUAGGUUGAGCUUUGUUCGGCAACACUUCAUGGUUUUCUUAAGUUAUGCGAUUGAAUGUGCCAAUGGACACACUUGUCUGUUCUUGCUAUUGUUGGUUAGGUGGUAAACUCAUCUAAAAAAAGUGAAAAAAUUGUUAAUUAUUGUUUUUCAUUGGCACUGUAUAUAAUUGCGUACAGUCUGCCAUUUGCGAGCUUAUUCAGUUGUAUAGAAUUUUCAGAUUAAAAAAAAAGAAAAAAUAGCUGUAUCCAAACAAGGCAUAAGUUAGUGGUUUAUUUCAAGGAUUUCUGCUAUUGGUAGCUGCCGGUUGUGCCGCACCGUGCCAGUGAGGACCAGCUGAUGGUACAAGGGUGUACCAUGGCGCAACCCCAAGCCCUCUGUGCCGCAAUGUAUCUAUUACCUAGUGCCGCCACCAUUGUGCCUGCCAUGCUACUGUCCUCGUCAAGGAAUCACCAUUAUUUCUGACUGCUGCUCGUUGCAAUUGUCAUGAUGGUUUUAGAGUUUGAGUGGAGGUAGACUAAGAGAAACGGGUGUAGGUUAGCGGGCUUCCAGUUUACCGAAAUGCGCUCUGACGCGUUACUAGGGGGUUUUGAUAGACCAUGAGCUGGCUAAUCCACAUCUGGUUCUCUUAUACUCCCAUUUCUUUUACCUUAAUUUGGAACCACAUCACCUCUGUUCUCAUUUUCUCUCUCAUUUGAUUCUCCACUGUUCUCUUCUUCUUCUUUACCCAAUCCCUGUUGCCAUUUUCUUCCUCUCUACAGCUGUUGAAUGUUUUUGGCAUCGAUGAAACACCUCGACAGUCACAUAGUCAUGCUCUAGUGGCAGAAGCCAUCAUGCUGCUGCUGUGCCGGCACCGGCAUGAGGCAUGCCUGUGUGUUGUUCCGUGCUAGAGCUGAGCCAGCGCACCCCUUGCCAUCAGCAAGGAGAUCCUUGGUUCAUUUAGACCAUCAUCAGUUAUAUCUAAAAAGAAAAUGAGUAAUGUGCUGAGGAUUAGUAUUAUAAUAUAGAUUGGAGGAAUGGAUACAAGGUCUCUCUGAGACUGUAUUUAAGUAGUCAUUAUAACAUGAUACUUUUGCAUUAUUAGUUUUUUCCUUGAUUCGUUUUCUCUUUAGUACCCAUAUUGAAUAAUAAUAAUGCGUGAAGAGUGUUACAUAUUAUAGUAGCAGGACAAUAUUACAAUUGGAUUAUAUUUUGUUGUAAUUAUUUAUGAUUUGAGCAAAUGAGAUGUAUUAUUUUGCAGUUAGUAAGAAUUCGACUGAAGUCAUUAUGUGGUUCCUAGCUGUCUAAUUUCUCUCUGCCUAGGGGCAUCCAAGCUGCUCUGUUGUUUCACAUUGAGCUUUGUGUUGAAAACACCAUAAUGUUAUUAGUGGCUUAUUUCUUUAAAAUUGAUGCAAAUUAGCAGUUUAUUUCUUUAAAUAUGAUGCAUCAAUUGCUUAUCUUGACUUGUCCACUUAAUUUCCUUCUCACAUGUUUCAUAUUCAUGUUCUACUGUACUAUAUUUAUUCUGAUAAUAACCAUAAUUAUGUAAAAUUUUAGGUUGCGAACUUUGAGUAUAUAGAUGAAGCUGAAGCUGCUGCAGCAAGAGAGGAAGAGCUACGAAAACGUUCUAUGAAUGACAAAGCUUCUGGCUCUAAUGUCGACAGAGCAAACUAUUGGGAUGAAUUAUUGAAAGAUCGAUAUGGAGUACACCAAAUGGAAGAAUAUACUACUAUGGGAAAAGGAAAAAGAAGCCGCAAACAAGUAUUGCCUUGUGCUAACCCUUUUCUCUUAUCUUAUUAUAUUGAUAUUUGCUUAUUAUUAUUUUGUUAUGGUGUUAGUAUUUUCUUCUUGGUCUUCUACAACGAAUGCAUUCAAAUCCAUCUAGUUUUCUUUUUUCUUUUUUAUUAUUCUAUGGUAUCGCUUUUCUGUCUGCUCCAUUUUGUGACUUUCUUCAUUAGAAGUGCUACUUGUUUUCAAUUUUCAAGAUGGCCUAGCAAUGGAGAAUGCUGUAUACUUUUUCUUACAAAUGUGUGCAGCUGAUUGUAACAGUCUUUUAUUUUAUUCAGAUGACGGCUGCUGAUGAAGAUGAUCUUGCUGGCUUGCAAGAUGUAAGUUCUGAAGAUGAAGAUUACUGUUAUGAAGAUGACUUUUCAGAUGAGGACUCAAAUAUAGCUGGAAAUGGACCUGGGAAAAGGGGCCAAUUUUCAAAGAAGAAAGGACGCGGUAUGUUUUUAAAGCUAAUUGUAUUGUGUUUUUGUUUGGGUUGACUUGUAAUCUUUGUUACUCAGGAACUUCAAUGAUGCAUGUUUAUUAGGUUAUGUUGAGUCACCGCUGAUGGAAGGUGAGGGGCGGUCUUUUAGGGUUCUUGGUUUCAAUCAGAACCAAAGGGCUUUGUUCGUACAAAUACUGAUGAGGUGUGUAUUAAGUCUCAUGCUUAUUACAUGGCAUUUGGAAUUUUGGUUAAAUAUUUACUUCAUCAAAUCGACUCCAAAACUAGCCCUCCUUGUUCUCUAUAUUCUCUCUUCUUUUUCUUUAGUCGCAGUAUUAUGUCCAAAAUGAGAUUUAAGAUGAGCGAUUUUGGAACUAUGAUCAAUUUCUAUGCUAAUUUACGGUAAUUUAACAUAUGUAGCAUAAGGUAGAGCUGAUUGUGUAGUUAUAGAAUUACGCUUUCCUUCUUAUACGGUAGGUUUAAUGUAAAGGAUUACAAUUUGCAUGUAUAUCUGUGUCAGUUUGCACAUAAUUCUUUCAAACUUAAAUAGUAAAAUUUUUCUCCGACUGAUCACAUAUUUAUUAUACUCUCUUCUUUUUUGGUUUUUCCCCUCUCUUAUAGUUGCAUGUAUACUCUUUGGUUUGCUCGAUUCUCUUUCUUAGUUUUGAUACUCUCUAUCUCUCCCCCCUCCCUAUUAUGUAGGUUUGGCUUUCAGGAUUAUGAGUGGAAGGAAUUUCUUCCUCGACUGAAGGGUAAAACUGCUCGUGAAAUAAAAGAGUAUGCUUUUCUUUUAUCCUCCAAAUUAUGUCAUUGGAGUAAUCAACUUUUAUAUCUAUGUAUUGCUGUAUAGUAUCAUAUAUUAUGCCUAAGACUUUCCCAAUUAAAGUUAUUUGAUUCCAACUUGCCUAAGCUAACCAUUUUUUUUUUGGUUGACGCAAAUGAUUCAAGUUUAAGCAUCCGAUAGUCAAUGGGGAAUCCAUUAUUCUCUUUCUAUAUAUUAUUAUUCAAUAAAGUAAUGAUUGUGCUUGCAAAUGACUCAUUUGUGAGGAUUUCUUGGAGGAUUUCUUGGAGGAUCUACUUAGAAUCCAUGAUAAAACCAUCUAUUGCCAACACCUUCCAGUUUCCUUUUUGCAUAACCUGUGGAAGGAUCUGAUUGAAAUGGAGGAUUCCGUGUAUGAAAAUACUGUGUUUACAAUUGUUCCUUUUUUCUUCCAGGUAUCAAUGCUACCUGGUCCUUCUUAAGAAUCUUUGCAAUGUCUUCAUGUCAAUCAUUCCUACUGGAGUCUAAAUUUUAGACCAAUCUUAGCUUCCAGAACAUUUUGUUGGCAGUUAAGUAGUUUGACUCAAAAAUUUAAGUGCCCAUUGGCACGGGCCGUACCUACUGUACUGUAUCGUGCCAAUAAGAUAUCGGUACGAUAUAGCUCCCGUGCCGAUUGCACAGCUCAAAACCCUCUUUUCUUUAAAUUAGUAAGUAAUUUUCUCAAUAAAGUUCAAAAGAUUUGAUAAAGAUAUGAAAAUAAAUAUUUUAUAUCAUUAUAUGUCGGCACACAUGUAUUUUUUGUGACCGGCACGGUCCGGCACACACCAUAUCGUACUAUGCCGACAAAUUUUCGGCACGAUCCCGUACCACGACACUUAAAUCCUUAGACUUGCUUUUUUCAUUGAUCUAUAGAUUUUAAAAUAGUAGGUCAAACUUUGUUAUGGUCAUUAGAGAAUGAUAUUUCAUCUAGUAGAACUCAUGGAUUUAAGUGCCGUGGCAUGGAGUCGUGCUGGAAACUUGCCGGCACGCUUGCCGAUGCGUGCUGGUCACAAAAAAUAAAUGUCUGCCGACACAUAAUGGCACGAAAUAUUUAUUUUCUUUAGCAACAAAAUAUUCUAACGGUUUAUUAUGUAUCUUUAUCAAAUCUUUUGAACUUUAUUGAGAAAAUUAUUUACUAAUUUGAAGAAUAAAAGGUUUUGAGCUGUGUCAUCAGCACGGGGGCCGUAUCAUGCCUAUAUCUUGUUGGCACGAUACGGCACGGUAGAUACGGCCGUAGAUACGGCCCGUGCCAAUGGGCACUUAAAUCCUCCGUAGAACCCCAUGUGAAAAAUGGAAAAUAGUGGAAAAGGCGAACUUCUGAGUGUUGAAUGACUCUCAGAGCAUGUUUGACAAUAAUGAAGUUUCAUGAAGUUGGUUCUUUUCUGCGGUUGGGUUUAACCAAAAUCCCAACGAUAUACCACCAGAGGAAGUCAAAAAGCAUGAAAAUGAGGCACAUGUCCAGCAAGAUCUCACAAGUUCUGUAUGAUGCAAUUAACCGAACUCGUUACAUCCUAGUUCCACUCUAGCUAUCUCAAUUCGUCAGGAACAAAUGCACCCUUGAUUUACUUUUCUUGCGCAUAGAUGUCAGGCUCCCAAAACUAAACAUCAAUUUAAAUAGUUAUUUGUUACAUAAACUAAAAUGUUGUCAUAUACAUGCCGGCCGUUCAAACCUAUGAGCUCAGAUGUGGAUAGUACUUGUAAGCUUUCUGUGAUGAGAACAAUAUCUCACGAGAUAGGGUCUUCUCUUAGGACAAUGAAUUGCUUCACUUAGUUCUAAGAUAUAGGUAUCUCAAAUGUGAGUCUUGAUUAAUAUGGUCUGUCAUUCAUUUUCCAACCAAUUGGAUGGAUUUACUACAGAAGUAUAUAGAUCCAUCGAAAUUUGCUCUAUUUGUGCUCUAUACUUCAGUCUUUUAAGUGAAAGGUUUCUUUCUAUGACUACAGUGGAAGUAGAACCUCUAUAAGAAACAUGUUUGAUCUCCAUUAUGUUGUCAGGUUUACCCUUCUAUGAACUUGUUGGAUGGAAAGGAAAUUAAGCGUGGCGGACUAGUCUAAUAAGUUUCUGCCUUUUCCCUUUUUCUCAAACAAUUUUUUUGCUUUCUUCUCUUUGAUACUUCUUUAGUUCUGUGGUCUAGGUUGAGAGUUAUAGCAUUGUGUUCCUGAUAUUUUAUACUGCAUUAUUACUUCCAUGUUGUUAAGGAGAAAACUUUGUUUUUACGUUUUGAUGCAAAUUCUUUAGUUUAUGAUUCUGCUUUUCACAGAUAUGCAGCGCUCUUCAUGACUCACCUUCUUGAGGGUAUAAAUGACUCGGCUAACUUUUUGGGUAAUCAUGAGUAAUAUUCUCAUCUAUGUAAAUAUUUUCAUCUCAUUUGCAAUAGCAUUGUUAAUUUUUUAUUUUCUUUUCAAUUUAGAUGGUGUUCCAAAAGAAGGACUCCGCGUAGAUGAUGUAUUGGUCCGACUUGCAAACAUUAAUCUAAUAGAGGAGAAGGUAUGUCAUGCCUGCAUUAGUUUACUGUUUCUCUAGCAACUAUCAAUUCUGAUCCUCAUACCUUUUUUUUGGAUAGAUUCGUACGAACUUAGUGUUAUUCUAGGUAAUAGGUAGUUUUUGCAGUAGGACAUACAUAUUAUAUUGUGUAUGUGAUUGUAACAAUUGCCCUAUAUUGCAUUUAACAUAAUAGAUUCAUCGAUAUUGCAGGUGCAGUACAUGUCAGAAAACCCUGGCGCUAAACUCUUUCCUGAAAAUAUAAUAGCUCAUUUCCCUAGCUUGUUGUUUGGGAGAGUAUGGAAGGUGGAACAUGAUUUACUCUUAUUGAAAGCUAUGCUAAAGUAUGAACUUCAUCCUUCUUUUGCCUAUUCAUUUGAUAUCUUAAUAUUUCUAAUUUGUCAAAAUGGCAUCCACUUGGCCUAUCAUAUACUAAAUUUGUUCACGUAAUAGUCUUUUUUUUUGGGGGCAACAACUAUGAAAACAGAACCCUUUGUCCGCAUCUUGUUAUGGACCAAACCUGAUAAGUAAUGGUAACUAGGGACCUAGAUAUGGAAUAAUAUGUGUUCAGUCCUAUGCUGCUUUUUGCUUUGUAGUUUGUACCUUGUAAAACGCUUGGACCUCUGAAAUGCGAAUACCUCAUAUAGUUCAUUUCAGCAUCCAAAAUAUGUUUCCUUAAAUUUGGUCACUCUUCUUUGGCAUUAUAAAUUUCCUGUUAUGUCGCAGUUGAUGGCCAAUGAUGCAAUUGUUGAAGGUAUAUUGAAGUAUUCCCACUACAUCCUUAACCGUAUGGUUUUAUGCUUUUGGCCAUUCUUUUGGCAUCUUCUCAAAAUCCUAAUCUUGAGUGCUCUGUUCUGGAACCUGCUCGCCACCAUGCAUCCAAUUAUGUGCACAAUCCCUGAGCUGCAUAUUUGUUUAUAUUUUCCCUGUAUAGUUAUGUGCGACAUUCUGUCAUGUCUUUUCUAAGGACAUAGGGUAUAUAGUAAUACAAUGCUAUUAUUAGGUUGAGCACAUUCUCUUUCUCUGCUUGCUGUCAGUGCAAGAAGAAUAUAGAGAAAAUGAGAAAUUUUUUUUUGAUGUUUCUAUAAUUGUGUAGCCUCAGCUUAUGCAUAUUCUUGAAGUUAUAGCCCAUUUACUUCUUUAGACUCUCGAUGUAAUAUUUCUCCUUCCAAUAUCUUUGGUCCUUCUUUAGCAACACUAACUGUAGCCCCUUAGCUGCCUUAAUAACAUAGCUUACUCAAGAAACACUGGUGGUUCUUUACAUAGCAGCAUUUAAGUAUUAAAUGACUAAAGUAGACAAGAGGGUCAUGAACUUUAGGUAAUGCACCAACUUUUUGCAUCGGGUUGCAAAAUCAAAAUUUUCACAUUCUGUCAAUGUUUUUGACCAUCUUCCAGACCACGUCAACAUAGUCAACUAAACUCAACAUUCAACCCAUGUGAAAAUUUGUAUGGACUCGAUUUUGGCACUCAAUCAUAUUUCAGACUUGGUUCUCAUCCCCAGCAGUCCAAGCAAUAAAGCUUCUCCUUGCCUAUGCUGCAUCUUUCAGCACAGCUAUUAUAGUUUGAACUCAGGAUAUCUGUAAACCACCUCCUUUACUACACUGCCUCCUCUCACAACCCCUAGUUGCUACAGCUGCUAUAGUUAGCUCUCAAGAUUAUUUGGCUUCCCUCUGCAGUCUUUUGUUAAAUUUUGUAGCACCUACUUAUUUUGGUACUUUCAGGCAUGGCUAUGCAAGGUGGCAAUCUAUAAUGGAUGAUAAAGAUAACGGGCUUGCCGAUCUUGUUCGUCAAGAAUUGAAUCUUCCUUCUUUAAAUGGAAACUUUACAGACACUUCUCAGACAUUUGAGGGUGGGAAUUCUGCUUGCACCACUGCCAAUGUCAGUAUCUCCUUUCGAGUACCCAAUACUUUAGUCUACUAUAUAAUAAUGAAAGGACAAUGAAAUAUUUUUCGCUUCUUUUCUUGCAGGGAACUCCAGAAGCUGCCAAGGGAAGCCAGUUAGGUCCAGACUAUGCCACAUUGUAUCAAUACAGGGAACUACAACGUAGGAUGGUCGAGUUUAUAAGAAAGCGAUAUCAUCUUUUGGAGAAAUCCAUGAACCUAGAAUACGCUAUGGUGCGUUUCUUUUAUACUUCUAAAGGUCAAAGAUUUAAAGUACCUUUUUUAUUAUCUUUUUUUUUUUUUUUUUUUUUUGUUGGGGGCGGUGGGGGGUUCAUUGUCUAUCUGGCUAUGUUUGUUUCUCUAUUCUUUAGUUUCUGAAGCACCUGAAGAACACCUUUUGUUGCUUCUUUUGUUUCCUUAAAGAGUAGUGAAGCUUCAAGUUUUUUUUUCAGAAAAUUUGCAUGCCAUAUUUUUUUUCUUUUCCUUUUUUUUUGUCUUGUUCUGAUGACUGAUUCUCCGUAUUUUUGGCUCUUGGCAGAGUAUAACCAAAACUAAUGAGCUUACAGACCACGAUCAAGAUACUGAAUCAAAGGUUGCUGAAGAGCAGCAUACCAGCUCAAUGUUGAAGGAGUUGCCUGUUUUGGAACCAAUUUGUAAGUGAUCUCUCACUAUUUCUUUCUAAAGGAAACUCGAAUGAAUUCAAAUGUUGGAAAAUUUGGAAAUAAUUAUGUUAUUGAUCUUUUUGCUAAGGGCUGUUUGGUUUCACGUAAAACUGUGAAAAAAAAAAUUUGUGGAAAAAUUUUUUUGGAGGAAAAUAAAUUUUACACUCUUUAGCGUUUGGUUUGUAGGGAAAGAAAAUAGUUUUCCAUUACGAUUACGGUUGUUUGAUUGAAAGGAAAAAAAAAGGAAGAUUUUAUAAAUGGAAAAUUAUUAUAUGUAUUUUUUUUUCUUAUCUUAUAUAUUAUAUAUCAUUGCUAUAUAUAGUCCUGCUAUGGUGCUUUUAAAAGCACCAAGCAUUUGGUGCUUGUAAGUUUUCCGCCGUUAGAUCCACUCGUUAGAUCAUACUAUUCAACCAACCACCCACUCUAUUCUAGGGGACCAUAAUCAUCCUAACUGCACAUCUCUUAAUCCAAGGGUCUAAAACCUACAAGCACCAACGACUUGAUACUUUUAAAAGCAUAGGAGGUCAAUUCUAUAUAUAUAUAUAUAUAUAUAUAUAUAAGAGGGAGAGAGAGAGGUCCGCCGUGGACCUCUCUCAUGCAGUCCACACGAUGGAGCGGACCUCGUGGACCGCAUGCUGUAGCUCCCCAACGCGUUGUGCCCAACACCACGUGUUUUUGCUUUCCACUUGAAGAGAUCGGAAAACAAAAACCUCCGUUUUCCUUACAAUCUGUAAAAAAAAAAUUUCCGAGAAAUUUUUUUUACAAGCAACCAAACACCGGAAUGUUACUUCUCAACCAAAAAAAAAAUUUCGGGGUGAUUUUACCAGGAACCAAACACACCUUAAGUUGUAUAGAUGUUACUAUGUUAGUCUUCUUUCACAGAAUAAUUUCAGUAUGCCCAGUAAUGUGCGUCAAAAUCCUGGAGUACUACUAUAAGGUUGACAGUUAGAAGUUCAGUUAACAAAUGUUGGAAAAUUUGGAAAUAUUAUGUUAUUGAUCUUUUUGCUAAGUUGUAUAGAUGUUACUAUGUUAGUCUUCUUUCACAGAAUAAUUUCAGUUUGCCUAUUAAUAUGUGUCAAAACCUACGUAUCACGAACACUUUUAUAAGCCUUGCGUGUCCAUGUCAGACACGCGCAUGUCCGUUUGGACACGUGUCCGAUGUGGACACUCUUUGAACGCGCGUUUAAUGCCGAUCCAUAGCACAUACAAUUAAAAGAAAUAUAAACCUAUUUUUAUUUAUUUUUUCUAUGCAUAUAUAAUGUAAGAUAAUAAAUAUUUUAACUUUUUGAUGAAUGUAUAUAAUUUUUUUUGACAAUAUAAAUAAAUUAUGUGUGGUGGAGAAUUUUUUUUCUUAAAAUAUAUGAACUAUUAAUGAAAAUUUCACUAACUUUCAUUUGUAUGCGAAAUAUAAUAAUAUUUUACCAAAAUUAAUAUUUUAUAUAUAAUAAAAAUAUAUUAUUAUAUUAAUAUUAUUUUAUUUUAUUAGCGGUGUUCAUGCCGUGUCCGUGUUCUAAUUUUUUGAAAGUUGCCGUGUCGCGGUGUCCGAGUCGUGUCGUGGCCCGUGUCUCGUGUCAGUUUCCAUGACGCCUAAGUCAAAACCCCCGUGUACUAAUAUAAGUUUGACAGUUAGAAGUUCAGUUAACAAAUGAUGGAAAUUUUGGAAAUAAUAUGUUAUUGAUCUUUGUGCUAAGUUGUAUAGAUGUUACUAUUUAAGUCUUCUUUCACACAAUAAUUUCAGUAGGCCUAGUAAUAUGCUUCAAAACCCUGGAAUACUAAUAUAAGUUUGACGGUUAGAAGUUCAGUUAAUUUUUGUUCUUUAGGAUUCUGUUCUUAACUUUCUAUGUGUUAUAUCCUACUAAAAGCAAACAGUAUUAAAUGCUUUAUGUUUUAGGAUCCUACUAGAGCUUUUUUUUCUCCUCCAUACCUGUCUUCUGCUGUCCUCUCUGUUGCAUAGUUGUUUCUACUGUUUGUUAUUUUCUGAACAGUUAUUUGAUUUACCUUUGCAUUCUUCUCAUAGAUUGAAAGUCCUAGUUAUCUUGUCAUUUUUGAGAUAUAGGUUUCAAGUUCUUCACAAUCCAGUCCAUACAUGUAACUUGCACUGGUAUUGCGCAAGUCCUUAAAUCAAUUGACACAAUCUCUGUAAUCACCAUGACUUGUAACCACUGAAAAUAAAUCUCUGAAUCAUGAUAAAACACAUCAUAUGGUGAUAUACUGAUAUGUCUACUUAUUUCUUUCCCUAAUUUCCAAGCCUGCUAUCACAAGAUGGCAGCAGAUGGUGCAAAAAAAAGCUACAUGUGGUAAUAAAGAAGAGGAUCGAAGCGAGAGCAGUAGAAAAUAAAAUACGAUAAAAACUGAGUCAACUUGGUUAUGAGGAGAUAGGAGAAAACAGGAGGGCCGAUGGGGGGCCGUAGGCGAAGAUCAGGGAGCCUAUUGGCUGACUAUGGUGAUCGAAAACAUUUUAUAUCUGCCAACCUUGUUGAUUGUUGUGAUGAUUUUUUUCCAUUCUUUUUGGAAUACUUUGUUUAUGCCUUCAGAAAACCCACUAAUUGCCGACAUCACGUGGGAUAUACUCUCAAACCUGCUUUUGGUGCAGUUUUUCUUCAAUUAAGUUGCAUAGGGAAAGAGUAAUUCCUGGGCUCCGUACUUUUUCUUUUUCGUUUUCUUUUACCUCGUGAGAUGUCUAAUAUCUCCAAGGGUUGGAGCUUGCUAACCAGAGUCCCCUUUCCAGCUGUUGAUGAACCUGCCAACAAUCUCAAGCCUGAUAAUGUAGAAGCAGCUUUGCUUUAUAAUAAGGUAUUUAUAAACAGUUUUAAUUAGUCAGAUUACAUCCACUCCUUCCCCAUUUACUAUUAAUAAGUGCAAUCCUUUUAAUGAUUCCAGCUAUGUAAAGUAGUUGAAGACGGCGAAACUGACUUGCUCCACUCACAUCUUGGGGACAAGAUUGCGGGUUCCAGGUUACAGGAUAAUCUCCGCCAACUCGAAUCGGCAUGUGAAGAUUUAUGCCGGUUUCUUUCAGUGCAAGAACAGACUGUUAAUUCUGCAGAAGCAGUAAAUGCCGAUGCUGCUGAUCGGAAAGCUGGAGCUAAAGCAGCAUCACCAGCUCAUGCGUCAACUUCUGCGGCGGAAGCUAUGGAUUGUUCAUCGAACGAAGUGGAUGACGUCAAAACAGUGGAUAAUUUAACGGAGAGGGUGACAGCUGUCGAUGAAUGAGUGAGAUUCUCCUUACAGGUGGUAUUACGAACAUUCCUGCUAAUUGAAUCUAACUGUUGUUGUGUAGGAUAAAGCUUUCCACUUCUGAUUUCUAAUAUACUAGUUCCAUAUAAACUCUUUUUUCGCCGGAUUAAAAUAUCAGAUCAGUUUCUCUUUUCUUUUUCUUUUUUUGUUUAUUUUGUUGUAGCCAAUCAUGGCAUAAUCUGAAUGGUUUUGUAGAAUCCCAUGCGAUAUGUAUUACGAAAUAUUAUAGUUUCCUUAUUAUUGUUAAUUUUGUUCUUCAUCUUUGUAGGUAAGAUAAAUGCCCCCGCAAAUCACAGGAUUUGUGAGUUUUAGUUUACUGAUGAUUUCAAUAUGUGAUCCUUGUAGUACAACUGCUCAGGACCAUUUUCUAUGCACGCAGUUUCCUGCAAAUGUUAUGUGAUUUCCAUUGUUUUCAGAGCUUAAAACUGUAGGCCGUUUUGAAACAACUUUAGUUCUUUUUUUUUUCUCUCUUAUUGACAACUUAAGAUGCUUUUGAUUUGAAAUGUUUUCCUAAAUCAAUGGCUCCACUAGCUAGGUUUUUCAUUGACACUUGACAGCUCCUUUUUUCCUUUGAUAUUUUUCGAUUUUCCAAAUUGAGUGGGGAUCUGCUAAAAUUAACGACUUUGCUAGCUAUUUUUCUUUCAUCGACAUUUCCUUGGACUUCAAUUCUUUUCUUUUUUUUUUCAAUUUGAAAUGUCUUCCUAAAUUGAGUAGGAUUUGUUAAAAUUAGCGGCUCUACUGUCUGUCAGACAAUGAUAAUUACUAGAGACUUACGAUAUAGUCUGCUUAUUAAACAUUAAGAAUAGUCGAAUUAGACAAGUUUGCUGCUAAAUUGAAAAAAUAAUCUAGUAAAUAAAAGUAUGUUAAACUAAAACGUUAACGUUAACAGAUGAUCAUGAGAAGAAAAAUAGUUAAAAGAUUUCCCAUCUUUAAAGUCUAACUGUGAUGGUAGCCUAAGAACUUUUUUCUGAAAGUAAGCUUGCUGCCCCGUAAACAUUUAGUAAUGUGUUAAUUGGUUUAUUCCAUUAUCCGGUAUUAAAUUUGUUAACAAAAGGCUAAGGAGUAGACACAAAAAAAAAAAAAAAAAAAAAAAAAAAAAAAAAAAAAAAAAAAAAAAAAAAAAAAAAAAAAAAAAAAAAAAAAAAAAAAAAAAAAAAAAAAAAAAAA
rnacentral:lncRNA from 1 species